rnacentral:lncRNA from 1 species
UUUUUUUUUUUUUGGUUGGAUUGAAUGAGUGGGUCUGAUUGAAAUUGGUUGAAAAUACCUGAACGAGGUUAUAUAGGAAUUUAAGCAAGAUUAGAAGUAAUUUAGACUGGUUUCACGUAAAAAAAAAUCAUACCUAAAAAUCCAACUGCGACAUGUAUAUAUCACGUUGUAUAUCGUGUACAUCAGUGUAUAUCAUAUACGGGUUUUUAAGGAUGUAUGUGUAUAUCACUUUGUAUAUCGUGUAUACAACAUAAUUAUUUUAUGGACGCCCGUGUAUAUCACAUUGUAUAUCGUAUAUAUAACAUAAAUUUUCUUGGAUAUACACAGAUACACAUGACAUACAUGAGAUAUCGCUGAUAUACAUAGAGAUAUACACGGGGUGCAAUAGGGAAUACACAUGUGGAGUCGUCUUGAACUUGAGUUUUCAAUCUAAAAUGUGUUAUACAAAGAAGUAAAAUAAAAUUUUAAUAUACUUUUUUCAUAUACACAUUAUUAUUAUGUUAUACACUGUGAUAUACAAAUAAUUUAAUUAUUAUUGUAUUAUAUAUAUUUGGAUAUACAGAUAAAAAAAGGUUGAAAAAUAAUUAUAAAAUAUUUGAGAGUUUUUUCGGAUACUACUAAAGGAAAUGGAACCUAAUUUUUGGGAUGAUGGUUGCUAUGAGAGAAGAGAGAGAGGGUUUUAAAUAUUUUUCGCUAUUUUUAAGAAAAAUAAUUUUGAUGGGGCUUAUUUUUAAGAUGGUGGUUUAACCAUUAGAAGAGAGAAUAACUUUAGGCUACCAUAUGCCAAAUCCUAAAACGUUUGCUUUUUUAUGUCAAUUAUUGGACCUAGUUGUCAUGCCAUGCCAAAUCCCCCUUUUUCUUCUUUCAUCUUUUACGUACCUUGGUUAUAUGGAAAAUAUUGUGAUUAGGAAAAAUUACAUAGUAUAGCCGCUCCCAAAAACAAUAGCCGGCAAAGUAUAUAUAUUUUGUAUAUUAACGUAUGAUAUAUCUGUAAUAUACAUAUUUUAUACCGCUUAAAACUUACUUGGAAGGGAUCCAUGGAUGACAAGGAAAGGUUAUUUCGUAAGCUUCUGUUGCACUUAGGGGAAAUGCAUGUUUAAGUUUAAACUCAUUGGCCGAGCCUACGUCAUAAUUUAUGACAGUAAAAGCUACAUCAUAAUUUGUUAGACCGCUAUUUUUUCAAAAUAUAUGGUAGAUGAAACGUUAUCCCGUUCCAUGUACAUCUAUUCAAGUUUCCAACACAGUCUUGUCAAUUAUCAAUAUAUAAUCAUAUUAUUGCAAUAUCUAUGUUUAGCACAAGCUAAUCUUAAUAAAAAUGUAAUAUAUAGUUCUAUAUAUUCCUCUUCAUUUCUAUUAAUAGGUUUUAGUGCAUCGAUCAAAUUAAUGAAAUAGGCCACACAUUUAUACUUUGAAGAGUAAAUUGUUGGGCAAAAUCCAAUGCCUUGUAGAUAUGUUAUGUAGAACAUAGCAUUGAAUGUGUGAAAAGUAUAAUGUGUUAAUUUAAUGUGUAACAUGAAGUGUAAUUGAAGAAAAAAAANNNNNNNNNNNNNNNNNAAAAAAAACAGACAAUCAAACAUUUGCAGAAUGCAUUUGAAGUUUUCUGCUAAAGUAGUUUGACAUUUAAUGUAAAAAAGCAAAUACUAGACUUAUGAAAACUAAAAGAAUUAGGUAUGCUCUACCAUACUCAUUUAUGAGCAACAUAUAUACAAAGCAGUGAGUUUAAUUCCAAAGCAAAAUAGUAUAACAGCAUGACUUUCCCACAACUAUUAUUCUUCUUUCGAACUACGAGUUGUCCUUUUCUUCCUUUUUAAUAUGCUCAAAAGAUUAUUAAUAAAAGAAGAUUUAGUAUAUCUUCCUAGAACUUGUCGUUGAUCGUUAGUGCAUUUGUACUAAAAAUUAAAUCAUAAUCAACCCAACAUUCAAGCACUUGUCAAAUCAAAUGCAAUAAAUCCUAGCUAUAGUUAAGAUCAUAGUAAAAUUCAUAAAUACAACACACUCGUAAAGAUGUCAUAAUAUGCGGAGGAGUGUCAUGAUUUAAAGGUUAUAAAUUCGGAAUUUUUGUCUAAUUAAAUUACUGAGUUCUAGAUUAAUUAGUUUCUUAAAACAAAUAUACAAUUUAGACCAAAAUUAAUAAAUGCAGUCAAAUUCAUAAAUUUGGGUGUUUGUUCUGGUUCGAAAUAGCAGGUGCUCGCAAAAUUUCGGACACUACUAUUAUAAAAAAAAUGGUGUUUGGAAGGAAAUAAAUUCGGAAAUAAGUUCAAUGCACCUAAUAUGGAAUCUUGGUUCUUACUACGUCCACAUAUUUUUUUGGUUAUUUAUGAACCAAAAACAUUACUUUAAGAUUACCAUUUCACCAGUACUUGUCGAUUCAUAGCGUAAACAACGGAGUCAAUAUUCAAGAAAUGUAAUUUAAAUUGGAUUUCUUUAAUCUUUCCCAGAAAAAGAAAGUGGGUUUAAAGCAAUUAAAGCGCUGUUAUAUCUUCUUUUAAUUAUUGGCUUUAUAUAUGGGGAACUGUGACCUAUGUCUUUUACUGUGGAAUUUUAUUCAACCUUUCCAUUUAUUAAUUAAUUCCUUUUUCAGUUUAAAAAAACAAAGACAAGAUGCCUUUGUUUUUUAAACUGUUUUUUCAGCAUAAAAUAUGGCACGUGCAAACCCUAUUCAAGAACAAAAAGAAUUAAUUCAAAUUUUGUAGCUUAGUCCAGGCAAAGUAUAGUCGUGCACACGAGUGGCGGAGCAUAUCAGAUUCUGGUUAUUAAGUCUUAAUUAAACCCCUCUAGUUUAAUCACAAUUAAUGCUAAACCCUCUAGUUUAUUUCCUAAUAAUGUACUUAGAUGUUGUCUCUAUUAUAACUGGAAAAGCUUUAAGAAUCACAGCCUGACCUUCCACCCAAUCUUGACCAAAGAUUUUAAACCAGGAAAGCAAAAUACAAUAAUGCAUACAAUUCAUUUGUGAAGAUAUAGCGUGCAAAAAACAGUUUAACUGAAUCUAGUAUUUUCGGCAUAUAAUAUGUGUGUGUAAAAAAUUAUCAAGAUUUUAACAAAUAUUAAAUUUUGAGCAAAUAUUUUUAAUAGUCCAAUGUGUGUAGUCCUAAAAAUUUUAAAAGUUAAACCAAUCAAUUUUAAAAUUUAAAUUUGCUUAUGUUACUAUUGAUUUUUUUGACCCCAUCAACACAAGUUUUGAGAAAAAAAAUCCCAUGUCUUAUAUUUAAAACACACCGGGCAGGAUUUUUCCCGAUCGCCAAAAUUUUAAAGUAAACUCGGCAAAAUUUCAACAAUUAUGGUGAUCGUCAGGAUAUUGUCGCAAAUCCUAACAAACUACCAGAAUCUUUUACCAUUCGAAUGAAGAUUGACGAUCGUCAGAAUUUUUGGUUCUGGUGCUGAAACUUCCGAUGAUCUUCAGAAUUUUUGGUGCUUUAAAAUUUUGGCGAGGGUAUUUUGAUGUUUUGACACGGCUAUUGUCUUCAAAAUAAAUUUAACAAGGACAAAAUAUAAAUAAUAAUUCAAAAAAGGUUCAUCCAGCCUAAUAAUUCCCUAAUCAUGCUUAAGUUGGUCUACUCUUUCAUUAAUCAUUUGAAUCUAAGUUCUUAAAUUAAAUGAGUUGCCUUUUGGGUACCUCAAAUGUACUAUGAAUUGUCCUUUUGAAUAAGAGGUAAGUGUUGGCAUGGAUGUAUUUUCCCCUUUUAAUUACUUUUGAGUUGUCCACUACAAUUUGUUUUUGACAAAUAGUAGUGAUGACUAGUCAUACUUUUCUUUUAUUUAUUGUUACUUUUAAUUAAUAAGAGCAAUGAGUAAAGAAUAUAUGUAUUUUGUAAGAAGCAAAAGUGCACUUUAAGCUAGCAAAAAAGAAUUAAGACAGAAUUAAUGUCAUCAAAGAAACUAUAGUCAACCCUAGUUUGUUAUAGCUCCAUAAUAGAGGAAAAAAUUAAAAAAUUAAAAUAUUAAACUAUAUAUUAAAACACAUAUCUAGCAAUAUAUAGGCAUACAUUCCAAGCGUGUUUCAGUAUCUUCAUGUCCCCUACCUAAACCUCCAUUUUACAUUUUAAACUAAUUACAUGUAGUCAAAAUUAUAGUAUAUGUAUAUAUAAAUACAUCUUUUUUGUUUGGGUGAAAAAGAAGUAAUUGCUCCGUUUAUUCACGACAAAAUCUAGGAAGUAGGCAGAAUACUAAGCCAAAACAAAGUCCCAUGAAUCUAGCAUUUUUUAAAGAAAAAAAUAGAAAAAGAAAAAAAAAUUAUUAAGGAAGACUGGAAGAGUAAAAUUUUAAAGAAGUUAAGAAAAUAUUUACUGUUCAAAAAGGAUAUAAAAGUAUGUUGCCUACAUUUUUUCAUUAGUAAUGUACUUUGUUUGAAUACCAUGCCAUAAUAAAUUUAUCAGAAUAACCAAGCAAAAACAAAUUAUUUCUAAAACUCAAGAAAAUAGUUAAGUGGUACAAAAAAGAUUGCGAUCUCAAUUGGUUUUCUAUGUUAGUAUGUUAACACGUAAAACAAAAAAAUAAGAUCGUGACAGAAAAUAGGACAUCGAUUGUUAGACUAAAAAUCGAUUAGAGCUGAUUUUAUAUAUAAGGAAAAACUUAUAGCAUGUUUGGCCAAACUUUUAAAAUUUGCUUAAUUUGAGAAGUGUUUUUCAAAAAAGUACUUUUGGUGAGAAGAAUUUUGUGUUUGACUAAUUAAUUUGGAAAAUAUUUUUGAGCAACAAUUAGUAUUUGACCAAACUUUUAAAAAGUGUUUCUAAGUAUUUUUCUGAAAAGUGUUUUUCAAAAAAGUAUUUACGGGGAGAAGCUACUUUUUUCUGCUUCUCAAAAACUGCAUCUACUUUUACUCAAAAGCUCUUUUUUUCUUAAAAAAGUUUCGCCAAACACCUUUAACUUUGAGGAAAAAAAUACUUGGCUGGCCAAGAAAAAAAAACUUUGCCAAACAUGCUAUUACUUACGUUCAAUCUUUAUACCAAACUAGAUGAUUUAUCCGUAUAAGUCACAAAUUAAUAUACAACAUUAAUAUAAUUAAUUUAUAUUUAACUUAUAAAAUUUAUUUUCCAUUUAUUAAUUUAACACGAAUAUAAUGUUUAAACUACCCAUCUUAACUAAGAACCAUGUUGAAGAUACUCUUUUUUCGUCUAGCUCUUAAUAUUUUGGAGUCUGAUUAAUUUAGAUUCUAAUCGGGAAAUUCCUAAUUGAAAUACUUCGCUCCUUGUAAAAAACUAUUUCAUUCUCAUGGUUCAAAACUAAAAAUUUUGACUAAGAAUAUAAAGAUAUUUAAUAUCCAUCAUCCAUCAUAACUUUUGGUAACUCCUAUCUAAGAUAUAAUUAUUUAUUUAUUUUUCACCCCGUAUUCGAUACUCAUAAUCCGAUUAAAUUCAAAUUAGCAUCGAAAAAUUCCAUAUAAGUGGUUAGCAUUCCUAACAAAAACAUUUCAAGCUCAAAAACUCGAACUCAAGAGGAAUACUUAAUAUUUCACUACAAUCCUUGUUAGUCCUCUCUCUUACUUAAUAUUUCACUACAAUCCUUGUUAGUCCUCUCUCUUAUAUUCUCUAUUCAAUGACCACUACUGUUCCAUCUCUACUAUAGUAAAUAAUAAAUGUAAAAAAGUGGGAAUUUUUUUUUGACUUCUCAAAUUUCCAAGCCAUUCACGACGGAGACACGUCGACGUCACGUGAAGGUACACGUUUCAGCUGGUUAACGGACGGAGCUUAAACGGCGCCGGUAACGGAGUAUUCAAAUGGGUGGUGGACAGGUGUCAGCGUGGAACCAGUUGUGGGCCCAUUUGAGUCCAAAAAACAGGUCCAUUAAAUUGUUUUGGACUUCCGAGACAUGGCCCGUACGAUCCGCUUGUUCUUCCCAUCAACUUUCUCACCUAAAUUUUACCAAUUUAUUAAUUACUUCCCAACUUUGUAAGUACACAAAUUCUAGUUCCACUUGCAAUGCUGCAGCAGCACCAACAACAACAACAACAACAAUAAUCCAGUAUAAUUUCAUUAGUGAAAUCUUGGGAGGGUUGUGUGUUCGCAGACCUUACCCCUACCCUGAAGUAGAGAGGCUAUUUCCAAAUGACCCUCGGCAUCCUUCCCUCCAAGAACUCCCCACCUUUCUCUUGGGGUGACUCGAACUCACAAUCUCUUUGUUGGAACUCACAACCACUUGCAAUGCAGCAUUUACGGAUAAUCCUUUUUUGCCCGAACUUUUAAAAUCUGAUUAUUUUUAAAAGUAUUUUUUUUCAAAAAAGUAUUAUUUGUGAGUUUAUAUUUGACUAAUUAAUUUUAAAAGUACUUUUGAGCAGUAAUUAGUGUUUGAUCAAACUUUUGAAAAUUAUUUCUAAGUAUAUUUUUCUCAAAAGUAUUUUCGGAGAGAACCUACAUUUUUAUGCUUCUCAAAGUCUGUUUCUGCUUCUACUCAAAAACACCUUUUUUUUCCUUCUAAAAGCUUGGCCAAUGGCCAAAAAAAGACUUUUGCCCCCCCCCCCCCCCUAAAAAAAACGUGCCAAACAGGCUAUAAUUGUAUCAUACUAUCUACUUCUNNNNNNNNNNNNNNNNNNNNNNNNNNNNNNNNNNNNNNNNNNNNNNNNNNNNNNNNNNNNNNNNNNNNNNNNNNNNNNNNNNNNNNNNNNNNNNNNNNNNNNNNNNNNNNNNNNNNNNNNNNNNNNNNNNNNNNNNNNNNNNNNNNNNNNNNNNNNNNNNNNNNNNNNNNNNNNNNNNNNNNNNNNNNNNNNNNNNNNNNNNNNNNNNNNNNNNNNNNNNNNNNNNNNNNNNNNNNNNNNNNNNNNNNNNNNNNNNNNNNNNNNNNNNNNNNNNNNNNNNNNNNNNNNNNNNNNNNNNNNNNNNNNNNNNNNNNNNNNNNNNNNNNNNNNNNNNNNNNNNNNNNNNNNNNNNNNNNNNNNNNNNNNNNNNNNNNNNNNNNNNNNNNNNNNNNNNNNNNNNNNNNNNNNNNNNNNNNNNNNNNNNNNNNNNNNNNNNNNNNNNNNNNNNNNAAAAAAAAAAACUUGGCCAAACAGGCUAUAAUUGUAUCAUACUAUCACUUCUUGUUUUUAAAAGUCGUGCAAAUGUUGUUAUUUUUAUUUUUUGCAUAAAGUUACGAAAAUAUUGUUCAAUGAAAUAGCGAUGAUGUGAGAUUAGAUCCACUAAGCGAGAGUUCUUCUAGAGGCAAUUUUAGGAUUUCUAGAACAUGGGUGCACUACUAAAGAAAGGAGGAAAAAUAGUGUUUAAUGGAAAUUGAUCCCUGUUUCUUUGAGUAAAUAAUUAAGUACUGAACCAAGUGAUAAUUCAACAUAUAUAGAGCAUGAGUGUCAAUACAUGAUAUUAGACCAAUUCUAGAAAAUACGUACAUAAAAUAUGGCGGAGAGACCAUGAUUCACGUGACCCAUAAUUAUCACUAAAGAUCCGCCCCUAAGUUCUUCCACUUGGAAUUCCUAGAUCACCCGAUCGUUUCUCUUUAAUCACUCAAUUUUACAUCAAAUAGACUUAUACUGUUAUAUUUACGAGCAGAAUUUUAAUUUAAGUUUAUUUCACACACCUCCGUUUGAAUCGAAUAUGGAUUACCCUAUUAGAAAUUCUAUAAAUUCUAUAUACAAUGAUAUUGCAAUUUGAAAAUUAAAGUAUUGUCCUGUAAUUAAAGUAAGAAUUUAUUUUUAUCUUCCGCCCUUCAUUCAAUUUUCGUUUUAGAGCCCGAUUAAUCGAUGGAAAUAUCUUGACUUUGGUUUAUAACUUGAACUGAAGAAAACAUUUAAAACUAAAAAUGAAAAAUAACUUAUAUUAACACCUGUCACAAGUCUUUACGUCCGAAUAGGUAUCCAAAGAUGCUACACGACGUAUUUUUGCCAUUUUGCAUGAUAAAUGCUCUUUUAAUUUCUUGAAAAAACCAGUUUCUUCGUUCUAUUUUAUAUAGCGGUGUUUUGAUCACAAAAUUUAAGAAAUAAAUAUAAACUUUUGACACAUAAGGUAAAUAUAUAUUUGAAGUAUAGAUGAUGGCUAUUACAAAGAAGUCUGGUUGUAUAUAGUCAACAUCAUCAUUUAUGAAUAUGAAAUUGCAGUAGAAUUAAUGUAAGUAGUGCUUGAGAAGUAGCCCGCACGAUGGAAAAAAAAAACAAAUAAAUUGGCUAAGUGAAGAAAGAAACACACACACAAAAUUUAUGAGAGGGCUAAAUUAUGAAUAUAUUCAUGAAAAUCGAGGGGCAGCACGUGACUUCAGUACAAUUUCAGGCUUUCAGCCCAUACUUCACAAAUUCUAUUAUAUACUAUUAACAUGCUGUUUUGCUGGAGAAACGAAUUGAGAAAUGACUAAGAAUUUUAGCACCAUUCCUAAAGCUAUUGACUUGUCUAGAGCUUAUUUAUAUAACACCAUCAUAUUUGGAAACUUCUACUUGGAACUUUGCCCCUUCCGAAUAAUUCAAUAAAUUUAAGAUAUCUUUACACAAAUAGUCGGGUCGAAUUUACUGGUUAAUUUUUUUAACCGGCUGAGAUGAGGUCAGGAUUUAAAUCUUAUGGGUUCUAUAUUCGACUCCUUUUAAUUAAUUAAUCGAUUCUAAAUUAAUAAUUUAUAAUGUUAAAGAGUCGUUUGGUAGCCGGUUGGAGAGGAAUUAUCCAUGUAUUAAAAUUAAGAUAACUUUACACAUUGUUUGGUUACAAAAAUAGGAAAAAGUAAUCUCCACAUAUAAUUUAGCAUAAGUUAUACAAUGUUUGGUUGUUCUUUUUCUCUUUUUCACAUAAAACAUAGUAUUGCUAAUAUAAUGUUUGAUUCAUGCUUUUCUUUUCCGCAUAACUAAUACAUGUAUAAGUUAAAAGAGAAUCUAUGUAUUAUUUAUGCAAGAUAGAAGAUGGAAUAACUUAUAUAUAUGUAUUAAUAAUUGUUGUAUUAAAAUACAAGAUGACAAGAAUAACCUCUAUUCAAACUUAAAUUUUUAGUUUAAAAUAUACUUAACAAUUUUAAUAGAAUAAACUAGACUAAUAAUAAAAAAAUACCCACAUUACAUUACUAAAUUACUAAUACUUACAUAACUAUUGCAUAACUAAUACCUGUAUAACUAAUCCUUGCAUAACUAAUUCAUGCAUAGCUAAAUUCUGCAUAACUAAUCGUAACAUAUUUAAACUCAGCAUAACUAAUCCGUGCAUAACUAACUCUUGUAUAACUAAUCCUUGCAUUAUUACUACCCCAUAGCUUUAACUAGCAACCAAAUGACCCCUAAGUGAUUUUCUUAAGACAAAUAUAGGAUUUGAACUAAAGCUACUAGGUUUCGGCCGAAACCGUAUCCCAUAUUCUAGCUCCACCCAUACUCUCCGUUAUAUAUAGAUUAUACAUUGAUCAUACACGAUUAUUACACACCUAUUAUAGAUGGAUUAAUUAUACAUAUAUUACGUACAUCUGCCAACUAUUUUUAAUUUUAAGCGGUUGGGUGGACGACUAUUUAGGUCAAUUAUUCUAAAUUUUAAUUUAAAUGAUGCAAAGAACAUUACGUAUAUGGAACUCAAUAUUCUGCACGAAACAUUGAUACAUAGUUAAAUAUAUAAAAAUUCACUAAAAUUUAAACAAAUAUAAAAUUUUAAACCCAUAACUUCAAAAAUAGAAUAACUACUAAGAAGUAAGAACUUUAAACAUUGAUUUUAUCAAGAUUAAAUUCUAGAAUUUGCCUUGGCAUACUUAACAUGCAACAAUUCUGCAAAAUGAGCAGUUUUCUGUGAUAGAAGAAGCGGUAUGGUUGAUUAAUCUGGUGAAGUAAAAUUAAGAAGAACUAUAAGAGAUGAUUAUAAAUGUUGCUCAGUAAAAGGGGAAAAAUGAACAAUUUUUUAUGGUAGUUGUAGCUUGUAAAUUACUGAAAAGAUGAAUUAAAAAUUAGGUAUCUAAACAAGUUGAAGUACUAAACCUCAAAGAAGAUCCAAGUUUUGUCUGCUAAUAAGUUAGGUUCCUGCCUGGAACAAUAUUCUUUUUUGAAUAAUUAUUGUAAUUUUGGCCUUUUUGUCUGUCGAAUAAUAAAUAUAAUUUAAAAAAAUGAAUUUUAAUUUGCUGUAUUAGGAAUGAAUUUAGUCGACUACACUAAACCUGUCUUAUUUGUUGUCCUAUGGAAACGUAUAGGUACAAUAAUAUACUGAUUUAACAUAUACAAAAUCUAAUAUACAUAUGCAGACAAAUAUCUUCUUUUUCCUCUCCCUUAAUUUAUAACGAAAAUCCGAUGAAUUUUCCAUGUCACUUUUCUUUCAAAAUGUACUAUGACAAAUGUAGCUUAAAUUUCCCAUUUGUAGAAUCCUUUCCCUUGUCUACUUUCAUAUAACACUAUAUAUUUGGAGUCAAAUCAUUUUUUUCUUGACUAUGCUGUUAAAACAAAUUCUAUUAAUCUUUAAUAUAGAAGCUGUGCUAUAAUAUUCUUUUUGUAGAUGUAUAACUCUAAUUAAAAAAUUUAAGAAAUCAAUGUACGAGUAUAUACGAUAUUAACUUAGAUGCACUAUUUAAGAAUGUGGUGGAAUCGACAAGUUUCUUAAUUCAUCUGAUUUGAGUUUUGAGGAUGAGGUUUUUUUAUUGUAGGAAUUAGGGAGCGCUAAAACACUAAAUGCUUGAAGAAAAAAUUAAAGAUAACUUAAAUGUUUUUUUAUUUUCUUUUUCUUAUUUUAGACGAAUUAUUUUUCUUGAACCGAGGAUUUAUCGUAACAACUUUUCUAUCUCGCAUAAGGUAGGAGAAAAGUCUACGUAUAACUUAUAUUUUUCUCAGACUCCAAUUAUGCAAUUACACUAAAUAUAUUAUUGUUGUUUCCUUUACCGACUUCAUUCCUAUAAUAUAAUGGGUUCAUAAUUCUAUUAAGCACACAGCAUAAAUCAAGGUAGUAAUCUGGAACUUGAUGCAUAAUUUUGACUUAGAACCCAAUUAGAAACUACUAUAAUUCUGUCUCCAAUUAUAAAAAAGAUUAAUUAAUACUGGAAUUGUUUUCUCCAUUAUUCGUGGCUCGAAGUAAUCAACCUUGCUACUCCACUUGCUAUCUUGGGGUUGAUGCUUUUUGUUUGUUGUUUUGUAUUCUAUGAAACUUCUUCCUAAAACCUCCACCACCCCCACUUGCAAAUAAACAAAUAAUUAGAAAUUUCGUCGUACUUUUGAGAAUCCAAAAAAACCAUCAAUGGAAACAUUAACAACGUCAACGUCUUUCAAGAUUUGAGAAAUCCAAACAAACAUCAAUUAAUGUAAAUCUUAACGAGAAACUUUCUCAAGAGAGUACUUUGUCGAUUCUAAUGUUUCAUAAUUGCUUGUCGUCUUUUGUCUGUGGUCUCAUGCACGUUGAAAAUUUUGUUGAGUCCAAGAAAAAGAAAACCACAACUAGCUCUUAUUUUGUCUUCGCUAAUCCAUAUAAUUAACUCUUCUUCACUUUGAGUUUUACCCUUGGAUCUUAUAAACAUACACCCAAAAAAAGUUUGGCAAUUUAUGCCAAUUUUUCCUCUUUUGAGUUUUCCCAAAAUAUUCUACACUUUUCAUAAAUUAAAAGCUUUAGUAAUAUAUUUUAUAUACAUAAAAUUUAUGUUACUCAUUUUUACUUUUCUUCUAUACAACUUUGUCCUCUAUAUAUUGUGUUUUUUUGUUGUUGUAAUUUUUAAUGUUAACUCCACAUAUUUUCCAGAGAAAUACUAAAAUAUCCAUAUCUCUAACUCUUUACUUACUAAUUGUGCUUAAUUUAUUAUAUCUACCGCCAAGAUAUUAAUGAUGCGAGUGUCCUUUGUAGUACUUCUUAUUCAUUUACUAAUCCUCAUAAGUCUGUGAUUAAAUAAUGCUCCCGGGUCCACAAUAAGUGAUUUUUUUGCUCUUUUUUGUGAUCCAAAAUAAAUAAUUUUUUCAGAUUUUAAGAAUGAAUUAAUUAUUUUUCUCCUACAUUCACCUUGGAGUAAAUACUAAAUAGUGUUGGAGUAUGUGUUAGGAGUAUUUAUGUGAAAAGAUAGUAAAGAUUAAUAUGGUCAAUUUUAUUGCUAAUUAUUGUUAAAAUAUAAGUUUCUUAAUCUGUGUGAAAACAUGAAAAAAAAAAUUAGUUAUUGUGAAGCGGAUGAAGUAGUAGUGUUUCUCAUAUACGUCCUUAAUUGUUGGUUGUCUCCAGCCAAUUAGCCAGCCACCGACCCAUCCCCAGUACUCCCAACCCCAAUGAAACAAACGAAAAAUUGAAAUUCCUUAAAACAUGGUUUAGUUGCUAAUAAAGAUGGAGUUUAACUUCAAAAUAAUAGAACGAAGGAUGGGAUUAGCAAUCUGAAAAAUAUGACAUAUUACCUUCUAUAACCAUAUUUAAUUUUUAAAUAAUAGAAAGAAAAAAAAAUCCAUAAUUAGUAACCUGAAAAAUACAACAUGUCAUCUUCUACAACAAGGCGAAAAACAAUGAUGGUCCAAAAUAUUUUUAUACUAUCAGCAGUGGCUGAGCCAGUAAUUUUACUAAGAGGUGUCAAAAUAUGAAAAAGUAAACUCACAAAAAAGUAAACUCACUAUAUAUACACAUAAAAAUAAAAUUUUGAUCAAACUAAACAAUUUAAUGUUCUGGCGAAAAGGUGUCAAUUAACAUCUCUUAGCAUAGGUGGCUCCGUACUGAGUUUAAUCACUGCGUUCUUGAGAUGUUUAUGAUGCUAUGAAACAAUAAAGACAUAAUAAAAGCUGGAGAUUAAUAUUUCACUGCAGUCUAAAAUAUUCAAAUUUCACUGCAGUCUAAAAUAUUCAAAUUUCACUGCAGUCUUUUCUUGAAUCAAGUAGUGAAGUGUACUAGCUAGUUUAGGCUAUUGCCUUAAUGAGAAUUAAUCAAUCCGUUCACUUUGCUUAACGACAACAUGGUCAAACUUGUGUAAAAUUCAAAGGUGCUUACAUCAAUUGUUAAGUUUAAAAUUGAUGCACAUUCUUUUACAAGGUCCCCAUAUGUUAAUCACGUUUUUUUAUUCUGUAAUUUAAGAAUGUUUUGGCCCCCUUUGAGAUAUAAAGACAAAUAAUAAAUACUAAGCACAAAGUGAUGAUAAAAGAUCCAAAAGCUAUAUAAAGGACAAAUUAAACGGCAAAUAAUUAUGAGUUAUUUUGGAGAGACCAAACACCAAAUGAUUCAAAGACAACUAAGAACACAUCAUCUAAUUAGUUCAUAGCUUAAAGGUGUAUUGCCAGGCAAACAAAGGGGCCCUUCAGUUGAUUGUAUUUGAACAAAUUAAUCCCGGUGAAAAGGAGCCUUGGCGUAACGAUAAAACUAUCCCCGUGUGGUUUAAAGGUUACAGGUUCAAGCCGUGGAAUCAACCACUAACGCUUGCAUUAUAGUAAGCUCAGUGGACCUUGCGUAAAUACAAGAUGUUUUAUGCACCUGACUGUCUUUUUUUAAUUUGAGUAUAUAAUUCCACAUAAAAAAAAAUAUAAUAUUUGUUUAGUUGCCUAAGAAAAAAAAGUACCGCAUUUGAAUGACGGGAAAUUCGAUAAUAUUCGUAUUAAGUUAUGCGAAAAUCAUGUUGCAUAAAUGUGAAAUAAGAAAUAUAUAUUAGCUAUUUAGGGAUGAAACCACUUAAAGGCAAAUUGCUCUUUAAACGUAAGUCAGUCAUUUGUAACAAUUUCUUUAUCAUUAAUCAUAGAAUAAAAGUCAUUCAAUAUUAUUAAUCACCUUAUAAACAAUCGUUAUAGUAUGUGAAUCAAACAAAAAUAAAUGGAAUAAACUUAACAAAGACGUAUUAACCUCUAUCCUACAUAAACUAAGUGCUAAAGAAGAAAAAGACUUGAAUCAACCUUUUCAUAUACGUUAGGACAAUUUUGUUUGCAUCAAAUUCUAUUAUCAGAACUAAUUUUGGCUUGAUUAUGAUUUUUUUGUUUGGAUAUACGGAUCAUAUCAAGUGGAAUUUGGAACCUCAUUAUUCUUAUAACAGCGACAUUAAUAUUACAUGACAAUUAUUCUGUAUAACCUGUCAUUCUGUUUGUUUCAAAUGGCCGCUCAAAAACAUUUCUUAAAUAUUUUCAACUUGUAACCUCGUUUUACAAGUUCAUUGUUUUCACUCUAAAGUCAAAUACAAAUUAAAGUAAGUCUUCAAAGAAGUUAUUCCCUCUUGCCAAAAUUGAUAAAGCACUUAGGUAAUCACAAACCUUUUAAAGUGAUUUUUUGUUGCCUAGAAACUAGUUAUGGUUUACAAAGGUACUUGACAGUUGACGCACAAAAAAAAUAUUUUUUCAAAAUACUAAAUAACAAGUGCAUGAUAAAAGAACUUUCGAUUUGUAAUGAUUUGUCACUCCCCAUGCAAAUCUUUAUACUAACAACCUAUUAUACCUCUUAAUUAGUUAGUAGCUCAUGUGAUGAGUUUAACUUUUUUCCUAUUACCUAUGUAAAAGAUGGAUUUUCAAGAAAUAACCCAAAUAGCAGCUCACUCGACUGCUUAAACUAAAAAUAGUCAAUGGAAAUAUAAUAUAUGCAUAAUUUGUGUAUUAUAUGUGUAUAAUUAUGUAUAAUUAAUGUAUAAACUAUAAAUAUGAUUAGAAAAGGUAAACAAUGAAUAUAAUCGGCUAUUUGUGUAAAAGUUCCAAAGAUGUUAACGCAAUUAUCUAAGCUAAGAUUAACUGUUGAUAGCCUGAUAAUAUUGUUGCGCUAAAAUGACCCAAAGACAUUCUUAAACAUGAUGUGAUAUUAUUUGUUUUCGAUCAAGCACACACUUUUUCCUAAAAGACCUCACACAAUUAAAAAUAUUCAAUUCCUUUUAUAAAUGGAUCAUUUCUUUAUUCUACUUUCCAUGUGGUUAUCUGAAGUUGAUUGGACAGUUGCUAGUCAAUGCAAUAGGAAACUAUUAAAAACUUCAAAUUAAUGUCAAAAGACAAUUCCAACACCACAAAACCUUCGAUUUUUACAAUGGAAGAGGAAAGUUUAGUUAGUGAUCUUACUGCAAUUACCGUGUUAUUACUUAUCCGGCUUUAAGAGAAAAAAGAAUUAUGGCAUGGUAGCCAUGAUUAUAAAUGACUAGCCGCUCCUAAGAAAUUUUAAUUCGAGAAUUCGAUUUUAAAAUCAAAAUGAUCAAAUGAAACAAAGAGGAGACGGCUGUGUUUGUUUGAUGUGUUGUUAAGGAAUGUUUGGACUUAUUGGUAAUCAAGCAACCCAAUAACCUUGGACCGGCUAAGUAGUUUUCCUUGUAAUCUCGGACAACUUUAGUUCCCAAGUUACUACUACUCUCCCUCGUACUUAAUUCCUCGCUUGUUCUUGUUACUAUAUAUGGAUAAAAGAAAAUAGUUAUUCACGCAUACUAUCCAUUAAAAUAUGAGUUGAAUAAUGAAUUAUCUAAAAAAGGGUCAAAUAUGGAUAUCAGAUGGAUAACUAAUGGUUUUUAACUUUUACAUUUGUAAAGCCUCAAUUUGAGAGUUUCUCAAAUUUGGGAGACUAGAAUUCUCCCAAAAGUGAUCAUAUACAAGAAGCCACGGAAAAUAUGGUUAUUCAUAUUAUCUGCUGGUUAAUCUAUUUUUAUAUGGGUCGGGUCGGACAAUUUAUCUGUUUUUUGCAUCACCCAUCCUCGACCCGACCCACCUAUUUUCCACCCCUACAUGUAGGCAUUAAAUUGCUCUUCAGAUUAGAGGUUAGAGUUAGAGUUCUAACUACGGAUUCGAUAGAAUCCAGAGCUUUGACUAUAACCCUAUAUUUAUACUAAGAAAUUUUAUGAAAAUAUAAAAAUAAUUAAUUCAAAACACAACUUUUUCUAGAAUCCUAAACCCAUAUUUAGUCUUAUCAGUAACAUAUUCAAUAAUCGAUUCGUGUUCGGUUGAACUCACGCUUUUGGUGUUGAUAGAGUUAAAUACAUAUAUUACCUAAUUCUAUUUUGAAUUUGUAUGCCCGAUUUUGUACUUUCUUACUGGAGCAUACAUAACGGACAAGGACUGUUUAAUCGAGACCGAGAAGGAUAUAGAUCUAGUGAGAUCGAAGGAAGCCUGCUAAGUCGAAUAACAGCCGAGGAAUUCGUGACCGGGCAAGGAUUGUGGCGGAGAUCUCAGCAUGUAUCAAGUCAAGACCGGUUGAUUAGCCAAUUAGGAGAUUUCCUUAUGUAUUUAGAAUUGUACCAUAUGUAGAACUCAUCUACUAUAUAAAGAGGGUUCCAAUCAUUUUGUAAUGGGGACAUUCACGUAUAACAAAGCAAUAUAUUAUGUUUUCUCUCUUAAGCUCUCUUAUUCAGUUGUUCAGUUUUUGCUUUUCGAUAAUAUACUCAAUUGAUUCGAGGGCGACCAAGCUCGAGGGUCAAAGUUGCGCGUUACAUUGGUUUACUUCAUUUUACAGUUAAUUUCUAACUUCGAUUCUCAUAUUUCUCAGUUUGUGUCAAGUGAAAUCACAUAUCCUUAAAACCACUUACAAAUUUAAUUGUUAUCCGAUUUUAAGGGUAAACAGUUUGGCACCCACCGUGGGGUUAAGGAUAAUAGUGAUUGUCUAGUGCGAAUUUUCAUAACACACAUUGCUUUAUACUUGUUCUUGUAAGCGUUUUUGAUUCCAGGAUCAGUAUGUCGAACUCUCGAGCAGUACCCAUAUACAUCGACAAUGGCCUUGGUUUUCAUGGCAAAAACGACAAUGUAGCCACCCCAGGAAACGAAGUGCCUCCAGUUGACCUCGAGGGAGUACCAGUUGUAGACCCUGAAUGCAAAUCUGGGCGUCGAUCUCGAAAAUAGCGUCCGCAGAGACGUUCGAUCAGCCGGUCAGAACGCACAGGGUGAUGAAGAAGGCGGAAUCAGCCUCCGAAUAAUAUUCGAAAUGUUGCAGGCUCAAAUAGCUGCAAUAGAAAAACUUCAAAAUCAGAACCACGCACCGAGUAGGGUCGAACCCGAGCUAUCACAGGAAGUUGUUCACAGGGCUGAACCAGUACCGGAGAGGUCAAAUGUGAAUGAGUCAAGGACCGACCCAGCUAUCUUGAAAAUGUUCGAGGAGCUGACAAACUGAAUUGAAUCGAGGGAGAAGAAGAUUGAAGAGAAUGACAAAAAAGUAGAAACAUAUAACUCCCGAGUUCAAAUUGCGGGGGCACCACCGAUUUUGAAGGGUUUGGAUUCAAAGAAAUUCGUACAAAAGCCCUUCCCCCUGAGCGCGACUCCUAAGCCCAUUCCGAAGAAAUUCCGCAUGCCAGAAAUUCCCAAGUAUAAUGGAACUUCCGACCCCAACGAGCAUGUCACUUCUUACACAUGCGCAAUAAAGGGGAACGAUCUAGAGGACGAUGAGAUUGAGUCCCUACUGCUGAAGAAAUUCAGAGAAACUUUAUCAAAGGGGGCAAUGAUAUGGUACCAUAAUUUGCCACCUAACUCCAUUGAUUCUUUUUCCAUGCUCGCAGAUUCCUUCGUUAAAGCACACGCCAGAGCGAUAAAGGUCGAGACUAGAAAGUCGGACCUCUUCAAAGUAAAAUAGAAAGAUAACGAGAUGCUCAGAGAGUUCGUAUCUCGGUUCCAAAUGGAGCGUAUGGAUCUGCCUCCGGUCACCGACGAUUGGGCCAUUCAGGCUUUCACUCAAGGCCUAAACAUACGAAGUUCGGUAGCCUCACAACAGUUAAAGCAGAAAUUGAUCGAAUAUCCAGAUGUAACCUGGGCCGAUGUGCAUAAUCGGUACCAGUCAAAGAUUAGGGUCGAGGAUGACCAGUUGGGAUCUCCUUCCGGGUCCGUUUAUCCAAACAGGACUAUCGACAGAGUUAAAAGGGAUAUUGACCGGGAACCACGAUCAAAGAGAGAUCGAUAUCAGCAAUAUGGUGGAGAUCGGAGAAACAACGGGCCUGAACGCAACACCGUUCGAAUUGAUAGAAGAAAUGAUCGAGGACAGAGCUCUCGAGGGUUCAUGAGUAAGAGCGAUUUCGACAGAAAUGUGGAACCCAAAGAAGCACCAUGAGUAUCGGAAUACAACUUCAACAUUGAUGCAUCAAAUAUUGUAUCGGCCAUUGGGUGCAUCAAAGACACCAGGUGACCCCGACCUCUACAGACCGAUCCGGCCCAGAGAAAUCCUAAUCAAAUGUGCAAAUAUCAUAGCACCCAUGGUCAUAGAACAGAAGAUUGCAGACAGCUGAGGGAGCAGGUAGCCCGUUUGUUCAACAAAGGGCAUCUUCGAGAAUUCUUAAGCAAUCGGGAUAAAAACCACUUCAAGAACAGAGAUUCAAACAGACAAAAUGAGCAAGAAGAGCCACAACACGUGAUCCACAUGAUUGUUGGAGGGGUCGAUAUUCCUCAGGGGGCCUUAUUCAAAUGCACCAAGGUGUCGAUCACGAGGAAAAAGCGGACUCGAGACUACCUACCGGAAGGGACUUUGUCUUUCAAUGACGAGGAUGCAUAGGGGAUCUUACAACCCCACAACGAUGCACUCGUAAUAUUUGUCAUUAUGAAUAAAUUUCAAGUUAAACAUGUUUUGAUUGAUCCAGAUAGCUCGGCCAACAUUAUUCGAUCGAGGGUCGUAGAACAACUCGGCCUACAAGAUCAAAUUGUGCUCGCAGCCCGAGUACUAGACGGCUUCAACAUGGCAAGUGAAACCACCAAUGGUGAAAUUACUUUGCCGGUGAACGUGUCCGGGACCAUCCAAGAAACAAAGUUCUAUGUGAUAGCGGGUGAUAUGAGGUACAACGCCCUGCUCGGAAGGUCGUGGAUCCAUAACAUGAGGGUAGUACCUUCGACCCUUCACCAAGUUCUGAAGUUCCCGACAUCGGAUGGAGUCAAAACAGUGUACGAGGAGCAACCCGCCGCCAAUGAGAUUUUUACAGUCGAUGAAGUGAUACCGGUAUUGGCACUCUCAUCAAUGAAGGGAUCAGAUUCGAAGGGAAAGCAGAAGGCCAAAUAGCAACCAUAAAUACCGGACUCGACCCAAUUGCAGGAGCAAGGGAUCGACGAUGAUGACGACUAUUGGAUCCCUCGAUCCUUCAUAAUUCCCGAUGACUUUGACGCCACCAAGUCAACGGUCGAAGAGCUGGAAUAAGUCACACUAGCCACGCAUCAGCCCGAACGAAAGGUAUACCUAGGCACGGGGCUAACCCCCGAGCUCAGGAAAAAACUUAUUCAUUUCCUUAAAGCUAAUACAAAUUGGUUUGCUUGGUCCCAGCUCGAUAUAACAGGGAUCCCACCAAAAAUUACCGCUCACAAACUGAGCCUUUACCCUAAAUUAAGCCCGGUGAAGCAAAAAAGAAGGUCCCAGUCCGAGGUCAAACAUGCCUUCAUCAAGGACGAGGUAACCAAACUUCUCAAAAUAGGAUCCAUUCGGGAAGUAAAGUACCCCGAAUGGUUAGCAAAUAUAGUUGUAGUCCCUAAGAAGGGAAACAAACUUAGAAUGUAUGAAGAUUAUAAAGACCUCAAUAAAGCAUGCCCCAAGGAUUCUUUUCCUUUGCCUAAUAUUGAUCGUAUGAUCGAUGCCACGGCCGGCCAUGAGACUCUCAAUUUUCUCGAUGCCUACUCCAGGUACAACCAGAUACAGAUGAACCCAGAGGAUCAGGAAAAGACCUCGUUUAUCACUAAGUACGGUACCUACUAUUAUAAUGUAAUGUCAUUCGGUCUAAAAAAUGCUGGUGAAACUUAUCAACGCCUAGUAAACCGAAUGUUCGAAGAACUAAUAAGAAAAUCAAUGAAAGUUUAUUUGAUGACAUAUUAGUUAAAUCCCUGCGAGCAGAGGACCAUUUAAAGCAUUUGUAGGAGACUUUCGAUAUACUGAGGAAGUACAAUAUGAAGCUCAACCCCGAAAAGUGUGCAUUCGAGGUUGGCUCGGGUAAGUUUCUUGGUUUCAUGGUGUCCAAUCGAGGAAUCGAGAUCAACUCCGAUAAAAUUAAAGCUAUCGAGGAUAUCACGGUAGUGGAUAAUGUAAAGGCCGUGCAGAGGCUGACGGGGCGGAUAGCUACCCUAGGACGAUUCAUUUUCAGGUCCUCAGAUAGGAGCCACCGAUUCUUCUCGCUACUUAAGAAGAAAAGCAAUUUUGCAUGGACUUCGGAAUGCCAGCAGGCCUGGGAGGAACUAAUGCAGUAUUUAUCGAGCCCACCGCUGCUUCACACCCUGAAACUGGACGAACAGCUUUACCUGUACUUGGCAGUCUCUGAGAUAGCGGUAAGUGGAGUCCUGGUCCGAGAAGAACAAGGUACGCAAUUCCCUGUCUAUUAUGUUAGUCGAACCUUAGGUCAGGUCGAAACUAGAUAUCCACACUUAGAAAAAUUAGUGCUUGCUUUAAUAAGCGCCUCUAGGAAACUAAAACCAUAUUUUCAAUGUCAUCCAAUAUGUAUUGUAACCACUUAUCCUCUUCGAAAUAUUUUGCACAAACCCGAGCUUUCGGGUCGAUUGGCCAAAUGGGCCGUAGAAAUCAGUGGGCAUGAUAUUGAGUAUCGACCCCGAACUGCCAUCAAGUCUCAAAUCUUUGCGGACUUCAUGGAUGACUUUACGCCGGCCCUCGCUCCCGAGGUUGAAAAAGAACUACUGAUAAAAUAGGGUACAUCUUCGGGAGUCUGGACCCUCUUUAUGGACGGUGCUUCGAACGCGAAGGGUCCGGACUAGGCAUCAUACUAAAAUCACCCACAUGUAAUGUAGUUAGACAGUCUAUCAGAACUACCAAAUUAACUAACAAUGAGGCCGAGUAUGAGGCCAUGAUUGCAGGUCUCGAACUAGAUAGAAGCUUGGGAGCGGAGGUCAUAGAGGCUAAGUAUGAUUUCCUCCUCGUGGUAAACCAAGUUAACCGGACUUUUGAAGUCCGAGAAGACCGAAUGCAGAGGUACUUGGAUAAAGUACAUGUGACUCUAUAUCGAUUUAAGGAUUGGACCUUGCAACAUCUGCCUCAAAAACAAAAUAGCGAGGCCGACGCUCUUGCGGACUUAGGUUCAUCAGUCGAUGACGACGAACUCAACUCGGGGACUGUCGUACAACUUAUGAGAUCGAUAAUCGAAGAAGGUCACGCCGAGAUAAACUCUACAAGUUUAACCUAAGAUUGGAGAAAUAAAUACAUAAAGUACUUAAAGAACGGGAAGCUUCUAUCAGACCCAAAAGAGUCGAGAGCUCUGUGCACAAAGGCAACAUGGUUCACUUUGUCCGAAGACGGAAUGUUUUUUAGAAGGACGUUCGAUGGACCGUUGGCAAUAUGUUUGGGACCGGGAGAUACCGACUACGACCUACGAAAAAUUCAUGAGGGCACUUGUGUAAAUCAUUCUGGUGCCGAUUCGCUAGUCCAUAAAGUAAUCAAAGCAGGGUACUCUUGGACCGAUAUGGGGAAGGAUGCACGAGAGUUCGUUCGAAAAUGCGACAAAUGCCAAAGGCAUGCGCCCAUGAUUCAUCAACUAGGGGAACUACUCCACUCGGUCCUGUCCCCAUGGCCCUUCAUGAAAUGGGGAAUGGACAUCGUUGGCCCUCUCCCGUCGACCCCAGGUAAGGUUUAGUUUAUUUUGUUUAUGAAUGAAUAUUUUUUUAAAUGGGUUGAAGUACAUGCUUUCGAGAAACUCAGAGAAAAGAAAGUCAUAGACUUCAUUUGGGACCACAUCAGAUGUCGAUUCGGGAUGCCCUCCGAGAUUUUUAUGUGAUAAUGGAAAACAAUUCAUCGGUAGAAAAGUAACUGAAUUUCUCGAGGAUCACAAGAUCAAAAGGAUCCUAUCAACACCUUAUCAUCCUAGCGGGAACGGACAAGCUGAAUCGACCAACAAGACCAUCAUCCAAAAUCUUAAGAAGAGAUUGACCAACGCCAAAGGAAAAUGGAGAAAAAUACUACCCGAGGUUCUAUGGGCAUACCACACAACAUCGAAAUCCAAUACCAUAGCAACACUCUUCUCGUUAGUUUAUGGUGCCGAAACUCUGAUCCCGGUCGAGGUCGGAGAACCUAGCAUCAUGUUUCGAUAUGCAACAGAGUAGUCGAAUAACGAGACCAUGAAUACGAGCCUAGAAUUGUUGGAUGAAAGACGCGAAGCCACUCUCAUUCGAUUGGCCGCCCAAAAAUAGCGGAUCGAAAUAUACUACAAUCUAAGAGCCAAUCUUCGACAUUUUAACAUUGGGGACUUAGGUUCUAAGAAAAUUCACACUCAACACCCGAAAUCUGAAUGAAGGGAAAUUGAGUCCGAACUGGGAAGGACUGUACCAAGUUAUCGAAAUCAUCGAAAAAGGAUCCUACAAGCUCGGCACGAUGAACGGCGAACAACUACCGAGCAAUUGGAACGUACCACACCUAAAAUGAUACUACUGCUAAUGUACGGUCCCUCAUAUUUUUAUUUAUAUUUUAAACUAACCCUUGUAGUUGUUCGACUAGAAACAAUGAUGGAUUCUUCCACACAAAACCUUUAGGUAUGAAAGCACGCGUUACACUCUUUUUUCCUUAGACCGGUUUUGUCCCAAAUGGAUUUUCCGGUGAGGUUUUUAAUGAGGCAACCAUUGAUCGUGCUAACUUAGAACAAUUCAACAGUAUCCGAGGCUUCUUUAAAAUCAAUCUCGAAUACUGAGGGGCAUUACCCUCGAAUGUCAACUUUGAUGCGAGGAAGUUACUUCAUGGCAGCAGGGCCUCGAUAGGAAAAAUUUGUAAGGGCCAAACGGUCAACCGAACUGUGCCCGCAUAUUUUUCUCGAGCCCUCCAUAGAACAUGUACGCAUAUAUAAUCAUUUAUAAAGAGAAGUAUCUUUUUUUACCGAUAUCUCCUGCCUUAGAAAAAAUUUUCAACUUUACAAUUUCAUACUCUCGAUCUAUUAUGUAAAUAGGCUUAAGGGCUGACUAUAACCAGAGUUCGGAUAAUUACCCCUACGCUCAGGGAUUGCCGUCCAAAAAAUAAACGAGAUCGAUCUAUUAAAACUCCGAGAUCAUAAGACCUUUUAGGCAACCCUCGAUUUUUAUAGGCCACGACCACUCCACUCGGGGACUGACACUUCGGGAAAGCUCGAAGUAAAAUGGGAAAAUAAGCCCAAGGGGCAAAUAUCGAACUAAAGAGGCUAUGGCUGAAUUAACACGCAUCAGAGACGUACGAAUUUCGUGACCAAACAGGCCUUCGAAUUCUUUCAUAAAUCGGUUAAAAAGGCUAUCCUGACAAAAUCAUAAAAGGUUUCGAUAAUAUCAAGCCUCAAAAACUCUAAUGAGUAUAAAAUUGUUUGAACUCUCGAACAAUUCCUUAUUUCAUGCUAAGGCAUUACAAGUUUUGUUAAUACAAAUGAUAAAAAAAAAAAUUCAAGCCGAAAAGGGGAGAAAGCCAUAAACAAUCUUUUUUCAAAAGCCUAAGGAAUUUUUUUGCUUUGAGUUCGAGAGACCAUCCUUGCUCAAAUAAAAAACCUAAGGGUUACCUUACUUCGAGUUCGAGCAAGCACUCACUCGUUCGUAAAGCCUAAGUGCUAUACUAGUUUGGUUUUAAUCAAAUUGUGUAAACCUCGGACCUUAGAAUAUAACUUCAUAAUUUUAUAAGGCAGGAAGGAAGAAAGUUUUUAUGUCAAAAAUCAUUUACAAGGGCAGCAUGUCCCGAUCAAAUUUAUCUACAAAAGACCAUAACGGUCUUAAAAGAAACACAAAAACUACUAAUCCAAAAGGACUUAGUCUUCUCCGGGAGCAGCAUCUACGCCCUCGAGGCCUUCUUCGCUUUCAGAUCCACUCAUACUCCCAUAAUCAUCAUCAUCAGGAAAGGCCAACACUCUGGUUUUAGCUUUAAGCUCCUUAGCAUUCUUGAUCUCGGCUGUAAGAUUGAAGCCACGAGCAUGGAUCUCCUCGAGAGUCUCCCUUCGAAACUGGCAUUUAGCAUGAUCGGCAACCCAGUUUGCUCGAGCUUGAGCAGCUUUGGCAACCUCCUUUGCUCGAACUUGAGCAGCUUUAAUGUCGGACUGGCAGACGGCCACCAUUGCAUUAGCCUUGGUCAUUUUGAACUCCGAUUUGGCCGCUGCAAGUUCUGUGGCCAGUCUCUCUCGAUCGGAAGUUGCUGAACCCAACCGAGACUGGAACUCCUCAAUUUUCUUGGCUUGCACCAAGGCCUUCUCUUUCAAGCUUCGGAGUUGGGUCUCAGCCGAGGCCAGUUGAGCUCGGGCAGCCUCCUUUUAUGAGGCAAGGCGAUUUAUGUUCUUCAUCCACGCCUCGGCUUCCACUUUCACUGCGUCCACUUCCUCACAAAGCUGCCCGAUCACAUCGAGAUUUCGCUAGACUUGUGGGACCGAACUGCCCGAAGUCUUGUUGCUUCCCCUUCUCUCUGCUCACUGAGAAGUUUGAAGGCGUCUCUCUCCUCAAUAAGCCCUCAAAUUUCGACUUCGUACUGGAUCAACUCCCCUCGGGAUUGGAAGAAAGCCUCGUGAUGAAGCAUAAAAGCCUACAAAAAUAGAAAGAAGGAAUAAUACAAGAGGAGAAAAGUACAAGUAUGAAAAUUGACAAAGAAAAUAUGAACUUUUCCGGUUCAGGGCCUUUUGGGCUUUGUUGAAAAGACAAGGCGCUCCCACCUUGUUCAUCUGGGCUUGGUCUUCUUCCGUGACCAAACAUCGGAGGUAGCUAGCCACCCCUACGGGGGCAGCAAGAACCCGGGUAUCCUCCGGGACCGUGAUAGAGAUUGUUCGCUUGCGCCCGGCAUAGGCAGUAGGGGCCGUAAACUAAUUGGUCAGUUUAAAACUCGAGGAUGCCUCGCUAGAGCUCUUCUUCGGAGCCUCCAAGUCACUCAGACCGAUGACAUCUUCUACCCCAACAAAAUAACCACGGAAAGGAUCUUCCUCUUCGUGGGCUCCCUCCCCGUGACAAGUCUCCACGGCCUAAGCGUCGCGUAUUAUCGACUUGGAAAAUGAAGGAAACAAGGGGGAAUCCCCGAUCUCUAUUGCCCCAAGUGGGACUUUUGGGGUGUCGCCUCUGUCUUGGGGAGCCUCAAGCCCGGUUUCUGCACCGGCAUCCACCGCUUCUUCAACGGUCUCUUCUCCCCGAGAUAAAGCAUCUUUGGUUUCUCUCGGCUAGGGGACUUGGGCCGAAGUCUCCUCCUCGACCUCAUCAAGCCUAGACGGAGCAGUAUCAACUCCCAUCGGUUUUGAAGUUCUCUGAAUCUCGGUGCUAGCUCGCGCACGGGCCACCAGCCCGGAAUCAUCUUCUUUUUCUUCUUCUUUUUCUUUUUCUUCUUCUUCUUCUUCGUCCCUUAGUCUUUGGACUGACUCCAUAGUCAGCGGGAUUAUGUUCCCCUUGGGUUUACGGGCUGUUCUCUUCUUGGGUUUUUGACCCUCGGAGUUCGAGGCCCUUUUCCUCUUAUUCUCCUUUGUCGGUUUCGAUAUAGGUGAUGAAACGUCUUCUUCACCGGAUGGGGGUCUCAUAGUCGUAUCAUUUUCGAGACCUACAAAAGGAGAAAAUAAGUAAACUCAUAUUUGAAAAGAUGCUUGAACGAUAGGCAAAUCGGUAAGUUAGGAAGAAGGCUUACCAUGAGUACGAGCCUCCUACCGACCCUUUGACAAAUCGCGCCAUGCGCUCUCGGUGUAUAUUGACGUCGAAACAUGCUCCUAACCCAGUUCUCGAGGUGGGGAAUCGCACCCCGCAUCCAAGCAACAGCGGCAUCGAGAAAAAUACUGAUAAGAAAGGAUGAAGAAGUAAAAACAACGAACAAAAAAUAAAGACGGAAUCAUACUUACGUUUCAUAUUCCAUUUCUAAGUAAAUGACAUGCUCUCAUACGAGAUUAGGUCCGCGGUCUUCACCCGAUUGAACAGGCCCAUCCAGUCCCGAUCUUUGUCUUCAUUUAUACUCGAGAUGAGCGCCUUGGUGGCCCGGCAUUGAACCUUUAUCAACCCACCUCGAUAGAGUCGAGGGCUAUAUAAUCUUAUGAGGUGGUCAAGGGUGAAGGGAAUCCCGUCGAUUUUGCUCAUGAAGAAACGGAGCAGUAUCACGAUCCUCCAGAAAGAAGGGUGAAUUUGGCCGAGGGUCACUUGGAAUUUCUUGCAGAAGUCUACGAUGACCGGAUCGAGGGGACCCAACAUGAAAGAAUAAGUGUAAACACUCAGGAACCCUUCCACGUGGGUGGUGAUCGCUUCUUCUGGUGCUGGUAUCACAACCUCUUUAUUUCGCCAGUUGCAAUCUUUCUUCACCUAGUGUAUGAGGCUUUUGGAUAUCGAACUUAUAUAUCUCGAUUACCGGCUCGCAUCGACUAGGAACCGAUGAGGGUUUCUCGACCUUAAAGUCGGAAUCAAUGACACACCCCCCGGGAAUAAGUUCUUCAGGGUGUGGCUCCACCACUUGUUUCUCGCCGGCCGACCGAGAUGAGGAAGUAACCUCUUUCUGCGAAAUAUUUUUAGAUGUUUUGGCCAUUUAGUUUUUGUGGGUAAAGAAGAAUGGAGAUUGAAGUAUUUGGUGUUUUAUGAAGAACAAGCAAAGAAACUCAAAAACGUGAAGAUAUGAAGCUUUGGAGAAGGCAAAGAACUAUGGAGAUUGGAAUGAAAAAGAUUUGAAAGUAAAGUUUGAAAUAAUGAAGAAGGGGGCUAUUUAUCGGUUUCACAACGACAAUUCAAAACUGGUAAUGACCGACCGUCGACUGACGCACAUUAAAUACCUGGAAAACUGUACCGAAGAGACGUUUCGGUCACUCCUGCUGCUUAUGUCACGAUGAUUACGUCAUGAUGUAGCGAGGUGAAGAUCGAAGGCUCAAAUCGUUUCUUGUCAUUACUCUCCAAAAAAACGAGGGGACUAUCUGUAUACGGUCAAUUUUGUAUGGUUAAUAGAGAUCGAGAAGGAUAGAGAUCUAGCGAGAUCGAAGGAAGCCUGCUAAAUCGAAUAACAGAAAGCCGAGGAAUCCGUGACCGGGCGAGGAUUGUGGCGCAGAUCUCGGCAUGUAUCAAGUCUAGACCGGUUGAUUAGCCAAUCAGGAGAUUUUUUUCUGUAUUUAGAAUUGAACCAUAUGUAGAACUCCUCUACUAUAUAAAGGGGGUUCCAAUCAUUUUGUAAGGGGACAUUCACGCAUAACAAAGCAAUAUAUUACGUUUUUCUCACUUAAACUCUCUUAUUCAGUUGUUCAGUUCUUGCUUUUCUAUAAUAUACUAAGUUGGUUCGAGGACGACCUAGCUCGAGGGUCAAAGAUGCGCGUUACAUUGGUUUGCUUCAUUUUACAGUUAAUUUCUAACUUCAAUUCUCAUAUUUCUCAGUUUAGUGAAAUCACAUAUCUUUAAAACCACUUACAAAUUUAAUUGUUAUCCGAUUUUAAGGGUAAACAGAAUUCAAAUACAUAGUCUAAUUUUUAAACUCUACACUUUAAUUUUUGUAUAUGUAAAUUACAAUUACAACAAUAACAUUAACAAUAACAACAAAUCCAGUAUAUUAUCAUAAGUGGAGUGUGGAGAGGGUAGUGUAUAUGCACACCUUACCCUGCCUUUAAAAGGUAGAGAUGUUAUUUUCGGUAGACAAAUUGUAAGUUUGUAUAUAAUUAUAUUUACAUUAAGUUUGUAUAUAUUGUUAAAAAAAGUAGUAAUCUAUAUUAUAUUAAAAGCACGAAUGCCCUUAGCGAAAUGUCGUUCGCCUUUUUUACCCUUUUAAAAUGGAGUUCACGCUGGACAAAAUAGUAAUUUAAAUAUUUUUCUAAUAUGUAGAACUUUCAAAUCAAAUAAAAUAUUAUUUAUUAAAUCUUUCCUUAUUUGAAAUAUAUAAGACUCUUAAUUAAAAUUUUGGUUAUGAAAUUUUUCCUUUUAAAAUUAGUAGAAAGUUUAAUAUUUAGAAUUUCAAAAUAUUUUCUUUUCCUUCUAUUUUCUUACGACAAUUCCCUUCGAAAUAUAUUUAGGCAUUCAUUCUUUUUAUAGGUAAUAGCUUAGAAUUUUAAGGGAUAGUGAGAUGUUUAUACUUAAGAAAUAUUUUAAUUUUUAAAUGUAUUUUUAAAUAUUACAUAAGAAGAUAAAAAAUUAUCUAUAUUUUCUCUAUUAUUAUAAAAAUAAAAAUUCCCAAUGCAAUAAAUAAAUAAAUUAUUCUUUUAAUGUUAAGAAUAAAUAAUCAACUCUUUGAAUUAAUUAAUUAGCAAAAGAAUCCAAUUUAAUUCUUUUUCAAAAUCUCAUGUUAGUAAAGUUAUUUUUCAAGUUGAUCAAACUCUUAAGUUAUACAAAUUUGUUUUCAUAAGAAGAGCACCAGCGGUGGCAGAAAUUAAAAAGUUGAGCAAAAUUAGUUAUAUUAGUAUUAAUUUAUUACUUAUUUUCAGUAUUAGGUAACAAAAUAAUAAUAAUUUUCAUAAUAUAUUCCUAAAGUUCUCAUAAAUCAGAAUAUGGCAUAACAGACUUUUAUUGGACAAGAUUUCUUUAUUUAGUGAACUAGCUAAAUUGGCUCAACAUUCAUUAUUAAGAGCUAAUAUUUUUUAAUUUUUGUUCAAUAACUCAAAUAGUUUAUUUAAAAAUAGUCAUAUUAUUUCUUAAAAUUAUAUAUUCAUUGAAAUAGGAUACAUGCGCAAAAGACGUAUCCUAAGACUAGUUUUACUUAAAAGUAUGUUUGAUGAUCACGAAUCCAAUUGUACAAACUGGAUAAGUUUGAGAGUCCUGUUCUUUCGUUCCUUCUAAUCAUACUUAUUUGUUUCCUUAAAAAAGUCUUGGAACGUUAGCAUGUUCUGUGAAACUAGUAUAUUUGUUGAGAAAAUCAUCUAGAGAUGUUUGCGGUCGUAUUAUUUGGCUAAUGCAGUUCUAUAUGUUAUUCCAUCCUAAUCAAGUGAUCAAAAUUUGUGAAAACAAGUCUUGCUGGAGCAAUAGUAAAAUUGUCAUAAUUUGAUCUGUAAGUCAUAAUUUCAAACCUUGUAAGCAUAUAUUAUACUCAUAUUAGGAUAGUUAUUUAUAUCACAUCCCUAUAGUUUGGUCCUUAUCAGAUAUGAACCAGAAAUACCGUGUGCACCUAGCUCCCCAAGUGAGCAAUAUUUUUACAAAUGGCACAUAUUUUACAUUUAAUUGUUUGUUGUAAAACUAGGUUUUAUCCGGUAGGAAUUAUGGAGUAUAUCUCAACGUAUUUAAUCGGAGGGUUAAAAUUACUUUUAGUCAAAGAUAGACUGACGUGGUAGUACUUAAGCUAUUUGACUGACUAAAUUAACGGAACCGUCCGGUCCGGUAUCACGUGACCUGAAUCACAGAUUUCAAGACUCGCAAGUCCCGCCCAUUGCUGAGUCAGCCCGUCCAUAACUCCUUUUCGCUCCCUUAUCGAUACCGUUAAUUCACGCCGUUAGUGGGACCUUCAUCCACGUGUCACAAUCAACUGCUUCCAAAAAUGCGGCGGCUCGUAAAAUAUCUCCAUAUUACUAUUAGAACCCAACGUUAAUUUCAUUUAAAUCCGGAUUAGUUAUAAUUAAUCCUGUUUAAACAUUUUUAACUUAACCUCACUUAAAAAUAAAAAAAGAGUUUUACUAUUUCGACUAGCGGAUCCUAUAUAACUGGAUUUCCAGUUGUUUCGGUCUCCACGGAAACUAAACUUCCUACUUCACAGUUCACACUUCCUCUAUUAUCUCUACAAAGCUAUACAAUCAGUUCAAAAUCAUACUUUCUUUUUCAUCUUUCCCCGAGAUUUUCACAAGAAAAUCGACCUGAAAAUAGCUACAGAAUCCUAGUUUCCUCAGCACUUUUACUCCAUACAGCAAGUGAUUGAUUCUGUCUCUGUUUCUUCUGAACUUUUCUGUGUAUUUCCUCUUUUUUACUCCUCAGUACAUCUUCUGUGUUAUUGCAGCACUGACGUAGCCCCUUUUUUUUGUUCACUGUACUGUCUACUCUUUUGCUCUUUGGGCCUCUUAGAGAAUAUAAAUUCUGAUAUUUUUUCUUUUUUUUUCUGCUACUUUUUCUUGAACUUUCUGUGCUAGAAACGGGAGGUUUCCAACACAAUCAGUUUUUGAAGAUUUUUGUUUUCACUUUUCAUACCCCAAAACUGUUACUACUACAAAGCUUGUGCCUUUAAAAGAGCCCCCCUUCUCUACUUUAAGUCUUUAUUCCAAGAAUCUUUUCCCUUUUUUCAAAUGCGAAUCUGAGAAAAAUCACUCAUAAAAAUGGACCAACAAACCAUGUUGUCUAGUAGAGUCAAGUAUACUGAACAUAGAAAGCAAACCACUAUGGUUAAACCUUCAGCUCCGGCGACUGUUACCGGCCGGAGAAAGUGUCCGGAGAUGAAUGCUGCCAACGGUGGACCUAGAGUUGUACGUAUAACUGUCACUGAUGCUGACGCUACCGACUCUUCCAGUGAUGAAGGAGAGGGUCUCUACGGCCGUCACAGAGUGAAAAAAUUUGUAAACGAAGUGAGGAUAGAACCUUGUAUGGGAGAAACCGUUAAAACUAACAGUAGCGGUAACGGAAGUGUUACUGGGGUUUUGAGAAAUGGGCCGUCGGAAAAUCCUGCCGCACCAAAGAGGCGGAAGAAGAACGCCGGAGCUAUAAAGGCGGAGUCCACGGCGGCGAGAGGGUUAAAAGCGAACAAUGUUAAAAAGUUUCGCGGCGUACGGCAACGGCCAUGGGGCAAAUGGGCGGCAGAGAUCAGAGAUCCAUUGCGACGUGUACGGCUCUGGUUAGGUACUUAUGAUACUGCUGAAGAAGCUGCUAUGGUUUAUGACCACGCGGCUAUUCAACUACGUGGACCUGACGCGCUCACUAACUUCGCCACUCCUCCUGCGGCGAAGACUACCAGCUGCUCCUCCGGCUAUAACUCCGGCGGGGAGUCACACAACGUUCAACGGUCACCAAAGUCCGUUCUCCGUUGUGCUUCCACAUCCUUUGAAGAGUCUCAGAAUAACGAAGAGGCUGAAGCUGAGUCAAUACCGAGUUUACCCUCCGAGUCCGCUCAGAAGAACUCAGAUUUCAGGGACGAAAAUGACAUUUCAAACUUCUGCGAGUUUCCACCAUUUGAGAGUUUGUUUCCCGAUGAUUUGUUUCUGUUUGAGAACCCGGUUCCCAUACCCGACUUGUUUGAACCGGCAGCUUUACCCGACAACAUUUUCGGCGAAACUUGCAGUGACAUGUUCAUCGGGUCAAGUAAUGAUUUCGGUUUCGGGUCAUCAUCCUGGCCCGAAGAUGAUUACUUUCAAGAUAUCGGAGAUAUAUUCGGGUCUGACCCGCUUAUGGCUCUAUGAAGUUCAAACAAACAGUUGCAGCGCCUACUAAUUCUCGGCGUUCGGUUCGCUAUUUUCAUCGGCAGUUAAAUUAAAUCUCGUUUUUUAAUUUUCUUCUUUUUAGCUUAUCAGUUUUGCCUAAAUUUGUUAAUUAAUGUUAGUUUUAUGUGAGUGAUUAGUGAGUAAUUUAGUACUAGUAUGUAACAACUCCGUCACAUUAACGGUGAUGGACGAGAUUUUGCGGUAUAGUGUUGUUUUUGUGCUUCGUGCUCUACCACCUUUCUUUUUAUUUUUUUCUUGUUUAUUGCCUUAGAAAUGUUACGUUAAUACACCCUGGUCUUAUAUUACAUUACUAAAAAUAGUUAUUUUAAAUUAUUUAUUAUUUUAGAAGUUCAAGAUAAAAUUAAUUAUUUUUUUCUUUAAUAUUCUUAGUAAUUAUUAUUUUUGAAGAUGAAAAUAAUACAUAAAUAAAAUAAAUAUUUAAAUAUAAAAAUUUUAUUUUAAGACAUAAUAAAAGUAAAAUAGUCUAAUUUCUUUCCUAAUUAAUGUUUGCAUCUAAUAGAAAAACACAUAAUAUGACGUAGAGGGAGUAAUAAUAAACAACUUGACAAAUUAUUGUAGGAUAUGUUAAUGCUAAUUUAUGGUUGAUUUAAAAUUUAACGAUCUUCAAUAAUUGACCAAUAAGUUAGUGCAACAUUGAAGAAUUCUGUCUGGCGAGCAGGAGUUGAAGGGUAGUUGGGGUUGGGGGGUGGGGUGGGGGUUGUCUGAUAAAGGCAUGUGUACAAACACGUGACUUGAGAAGCAAUAGGAAUUAGGUGAAAGAAUGAAAUGGCAUGAAUGCUUUGGCCUACAUUUAGACAUGCUUAACCUGAACACAUUCUCAAUGCUUCAUUUUUAGUUGAGUAUCACUUGGAUUUUAUUUGGUGCAUUUUAACUUGUGAUAUCAUAUUACUCUGUAUAACUUAUCUUUCAAUACUUGAUAGUAUAAUACUUUAUAUUGUUAGUGUAAACUUAAUAACAUUUUUCUCUAAAACAUCGAGUUGUACCAAUUUACGUGCAAAAUUUCUUUUUCUACACGAUUUUGUAACGGGUUCUCUAUUAUAAUACCACUUGUAUACUAUUCGUGCAAUGUGAAUUUGAAAAAUCAGUAAAAACGAGAAUAAUUGAGCAAUGCUCAUUUCAUCCUGUACUGAAAAAGUAAUCCAGUGCACAAAGUUUAUUAUGUUCACGUAAGAUCGUGGGAAGGGUUGUACCCAAGGAGUGUGAUUUAUACAAGCUACCUUAAUACAAGCAUUCAUAAUUGUUUUCACGGCACGAAUCAUGAGCUAAUACGACACAAAAAAUAAAUGUACAAACAUUUUACCAAAUUAUGGUUCCAACACUGAAUGAAAAAAGGUGUAUAGUGAGUGAGUUGAGUAGGAUAAUACUUUUGGUACCACCACAAUAUGGUGAGGACGAUAAGAGGGCAUUGGUUUUGGUUUUUCCACGUUUCAUUUCUUUGCUCAUCCAAAUCCAAGAUUCACAAAGCAUUUGUACUUGAGACUUUCUUUUUCCCGUUAACCAACUAAUUUUGAUUAUUUUUUUCCUAAAUUAGAAGUGUUUUUAACUUCUCACUUCUCUUUUGGACAAUUAGAGUGAAGAGAUGGUCAAAGGCUGCUCUAGGAUUUUAUUUACCACUUGUUUUAAAUGGACAUUGAACUCGUAUUCAUUUCUGAAAUAUGGUUGAUUUCUUUUAAAGAAAAUAUAUAUAGCUCAAGUUGAUGGUAAUAAGUGUGUCAGCAAUCGCUGCUAUACAUCCGCCCAUUGGAAUAAGCUCGUAAAUAAUGGAAGGGGGAAAAGAUGAAAACACUGAUAAUUUUUGUGGUUGAAGAAGAAUAGCAACGAUAAAGUUGUGUCUGUAUCACCAAUAGGUCACGGAUUCGAGCCGUGAAAUCAGUUAAUGUUGCUUGCACCAGGGUAGAUUGUCUACAUUACAUCACCUUGUGGUGCAGCCCUUACCCGAACCUUAAGUGAAUACGAGAUGUUUCGUGCACCGGACUUCCUUUUCUAUACUCUAUACCUAAAAUUGUAAGGCGGUUUUGCAGAUACAUUUGUUAUUAUAAGUUUCUUUCUUUAUAUUCUAGAUAUUUGUUUAGAUUUUUAUGGUAUUAUUUGAUCGUUUUUAUCUUUUUAGUGCAAUUAAGACAUGCAAAUUUACUUGAUUAUCUUAAGCAAAUUGCAAGAAAGAGCGACAAAUAGGUCACAUCUACAAUAGAUUAUUAAUUGUAGCAUAGCUUUUUAGCAUCUAGAAUUAAUGAGUUUAGCACUAUGCUUACAGAUAUAUACUCCAGAACGUCCUUUAUGAUUAAAGCCUUUAAAAUUUAAACUACACGUUUAAACUGCAAAAGGGCUUACAUUAAUAUAGCAAAUUGAAUACCAUCUAAUAAUAGUGCAGUUAUUUUAUAGUGUGAGCCUUCAUUUGAACGCCAUAUAAUAGUGCGGCUUUAAUUAGUGUGAAAAAUUAAGCACUUUUACACAUAAAAUUUACGUUUAAACUCCAUUUAUGACGGCCAAGCCUAGGAAACAUAUUCUCUAAAUCCAAAUUUACUACAUUUAUAGUUUUUUCAUUUCACUGCUUCCUCUAAUUAACUUUAAAAGUCAAACAGUGCUUUGGUUUCUUUAAACACUGCUUUGAUUAUAUUCAUUCUUAAAAAUUAUUUAGAGGGAAAAAACUACUGUGAUUUUGAUAUGAAUUCACAAUUUGUUACUGUGUGAUUUUGAUAUGAGUAUAUCAGUAAGAGAAAUUUCAGUAACAGGAAAAAAUAAUUCUGGGAUAUAGGAAAAUGAGGCAAUAAUUGUAGGGUUGACGACAUGUUUGUUUGGGACAGAGAGAUCUCCAUUUAAAUCAUCGAAAAUAAGGUGGCGUGGAUUUUUCUUUUUUCUUUUUCUUCAGGUGAUGAUUUAUUGGGACCCUUUUCUCGUGCCAAUGUCCUUUUCCCCAAAUUAGCAAUAUUUAGUUAUUUACAAACGGUUGAUUCACCCCAAGAACCCGUGGCAGCUAUCUUGUGGUUUUCUGUUUCAACUUGACCUUGUUAUGAUGAUUUUUUUCAAGUCAAGACUAACAAAUUUUGCCAACCGUAAGAAUUCAAUUCAACAACAGAAGGCGAAAAGGAUAUGCUUGUAUUUUUGGUUGCUUGCUUUGUGUAUGUUAGAUGCGCGAAUAAAGUUUCACGUUGAUGGCUGAAAAAAUUGAGAAUCAAAAUAUAAGGUAUCAAUAUUUUUUAAUGGUGUUAGAUCUUUUAAGAGAAACGAAAAAGUUUAACCGAAAACAGAUAAUAUUAAGAAUAUUAGUAGGACGAUUUAGGUCAACAAUUAGUAUCAAAACCCAAAUUUAACAAGACGAGUAUAUUUAGUGGGCUGAUUUAGCCCAACAUUAUCACCAUUGCCAAGGAUAGAGUUCAAUUGAAUCUCCUUUGUCAGAAAUUAUAAUAUAUAAUUAUGAUAUAAACAAUUUUUCCCCCAUUAGAAGUUGUUGAGUCUUCUUGGUAGCUUAAUGCAUUGAUUCGUUAAUUUAUCGCACCAAUAGCCAUAUCUUAAAUUGACCACAUUUUCAAGAAGUGAAAAAAUAAUUUACUAGAAAUGAUCUUGAACCUAUGUUUUCCGAACUUUCUAAAAAUAUUGCUGCACAUGUAACGAAUCCUCCUCAAUGCACUGUUUUAGAAAGUUCGAAUAGACACGCAACAACAUAUUUUAGAGUUUGAGCAACAUAAUCGUGAACGCAAUAUAUUAGAAAUAUGAAGUAACACUCACGAGCGUUAUUGUACGUCUGCAAGCAGUUUGGUAAGGCAUCUCCUUUUUGUGCCAACAUGCCAUUUAGACAUAGAAGAGAGAUGUAAGAUGAUUAUUCCAUUUUCUCCUGUUUAUUCACAACUGGUAAACUAUUCCUUUGUCCAAAAUAUCAAAGAAGAAGAGAGAUAUAAGAUGAUUAUUCUGUUUGUACUCUUUUCGUGAUUCUCAAUAUGACUUUUUUACUACUAUUUUUCAAUAUGGUUUCUUUUUCAAUUCUGAUUAGAAGUAUUUUUUUUGACCCGAGUGUCAAUCGGAAAUAUUCUUUCUAACUCCACAAAGUAGGGGGUAAGGUCUGUGUAUACAUUAUUCUCCCCGGACCUUGAUUGUAAAAAUACACAAAUAGCACGGGCUAGUCAGUUUUCGGACUGGUCAUUCAAAAAUAGCCGGUGUUUGCCAAGUCAUUGAAAAAUAGCCACUAUUUUGCUGCAACAGAGACUGGUCCAGCAUAAUAUACUGGAGUUCGGUGCACCUGUGUAUGAACUUCCAGCAUAAUAUGCUGGACCGGUAUACUUUGCUGGCUCCAGUAUAAUAUACUGGAGUUUCAGUAUAUUAUACUGGAAUUCCAGUAUAUUAUGCUGGAGUAUUUUCCGGAUUUUGAACAGUGUUUUCGUUCAAAUUUAUCUUUACAUAAAAAGUGGCUAAAUUUUGAUAACUUUUGAAACUGUGACUAUUUUUGAAUAAACACUUGUAAAUCUGACUAUUUUUUAUUUUCUCCAAGUAUAUUGUUAUUAUUGUUGUAUUCCUUUUUGCAAUUCCUUUUCUACUGACUUGUUUUCUUUUCCUUGUUGGCGAGUGGGCCGGGAUAAAAAUAGUGAUAAAAAGAGAGUUUACAAGAAUUUCGAAGACAGUUAAGCUGUUUUGUAAAAUCAAUAUCAAACUCAAACAUAUGGUAAGUGGUCCUAUAAUGAGCUGUGAUUGAUCAGAGAUGACAAAAAUUUGGACAAAGCAACUAGCCCCUCUCCACUGUUAUAUAGCACUGCAACACUUCUGCAUCACAAAAUCUUAGCUUUAUUUUACAGAAGAAUUAACAUACUGCCCACAUAUUUCAGACAAAAUCCAAGAAUUUCAUUAAUUACAUAUUUUGGCUUGUUUUUCUCAGUGCCAAUGUAAUCUUCUCAUGACCAACAAAUUGACAGCAAAUCCAACUUUCUAUUUUCGACCCCUUAAAAGAACCUAACAGAACAAAAAUGUCUCUUUCAUUUUCUCCUGAUUUCUGCCUGAUUUACUGCAUGCAGUAAGCUAGAGUUUUCAGCCUUUUCAGAUCAUUAUCUUUCUUAAGUAUUUGCCAAAUUUUGUAUUUUUUUUCUUUCCAAAAAGGAGAACUCCGUGAGUGAGGAUAGCUUAGUAAUGAGCAUCUCGAUAAAUGGGAAUUUAUUUAAGAGAAGACGCCCGUAGAAGUUGUACGUGGAUACUGCUGUACGAACAUCAGACAUUGGAUAUCUCACUCACAAACUUAUUGAAGUAGUUCAACAUUGUUAUAGCAAUGCCCGAGAUAUUUCUACGAGUUCUUGGAAUGAGAAAUGCAGCAAAUUGAUUUUUAUCACGAAAAUUAACUUCUUAUUUAAUAUGAGUCAGUUGAUUUCAAUUAGACUAGAUCACUUUAUAAAGAAAAAUAGUUAACGGCAUUCUGAUAUUUUUUACCAAUAAAGGGGAAUUCUGAGAUUUUUUCUAAUAAAGGGAGAUAUAUAUUUUGGUUGGUCUACAAUGUUUAAGUUUAUAUUUGAAAAGAACCAAAAAGGAUAGGAAAGGGCCUACUUAAAAGACUAGGAUCUUCUGAGCUUUCUAGCCUUAGCUCCAAUUUGCCUCGUAAAGACAGCAAUUGGCUGGCAAAAGUCAUUUUCUUUUGAAAUUCUAGUAUCUUUGUUUUGGGUCCCAGAAAAUCUUGUAGAAUAACAAGUGCAUUUUCCUUCUGUACGUGUAACAGGGAGUGAUUUAUGGUGGGCUAAGUCUGUACAAUUUCAAUUACCUAAAGGCUUCACAUUAUUAAUAGUAUUCUAUACAUUAUAUGCUACUAUUUUUACUUAUUAAUUUUAGUGUAUAUGCGUUGCACGUGUGCAUUACGCUGAUUAAUAUAUACGUACACAAGAAGAAAAAAUUAUUGAAAAAUAACAAUUAGUAUUAGACUAAAUCCAAUAUUUGUUUAAAUGACGGAAAUGAGUCUUAUUACAUUAAUUAAAUUUAAUAUCUUCUGAAUUUGUUGUAUAAUAUUUGUGGUUAAUAGAUAUUUUAUUAUAUAAAAUACAAAUAUAUUAUAUUAUUGUAUCUCACAUAACAUCUCAUCAAAAAUUCUACAUUCAUAAUAUCAAUAUAAAAGAAAUACUUUUUAAAACUAAAUAAAAAGAAUGCACACUCUUUCAGUUUAUAUAAAAUGGAGUAUAAAAACUGUACGUGAAUUAUCGUGUAAGGAAUUAAUCAGUUUCUUCAUUUUUAUGGAGAAUAAAAAGAUAGAAUCUAAUUUAAUUUUAUCAAGAUUGUAAAAAAUAAUAUUAUAGGUAAAAAUUAAAGUUAAGCUACUUUUAUAACAAAAGAGAUUAAAAGUUUAAAACGCAAUCUGAAUUUCUCUCUUCUUCUUCUUUUUUUCUUAAGUUUGACUAUAAUAUUAAAACUUUUUUCUUUGAUAUUUAUAUGCCUGAUUUUAGCAUGGUGAUCGAAUUUGUUCUUUGUAACCUAAUUACAUGGAUGUUGUUUUCAUUCAAAGUUCAUCAAAAUUAUAGGUAAGUUAAGUGGACCUUUUCUUCUGAAAAGAAUUGUCUAUAUUCUUAAUACUACCCUAAACUCAUUCUCAACGAAUUCUACCAAUGUCGACUUUGAAAUUUCAAUAAUUCACAUUGUUGGGGACAAUUUUCCAAAAUUAUAGAAAAAAUGCAAAAUUUAUAGUUCUUUUGAAUUUCUAAAUAUAUUUGUUUAUCAAAAAAUUAAAAUAAUAAUUGAAGUUACAAUUUUACCUAGUAUGGCUGUAGAUCAUUUUUUUUUUAAAUUAACAUUAUCAUAAAAUUUUUAAACUUAUAGAAAUUUAUACUUAAAAUUAAAAUCAAAACUCUUAAAAAAUCAAAACAUAAAAUCGAAUAUGCAUUGCUGAUCAUAUAUUUGGAGAAAAAGAGUUUAACAAGGAAAAUUUUAAGUGUCACGUAUUAAACUCCAAAAGUAUUUUUAAGUCCAUACAUAAGGGUAUAAAAGUUUGUCAAAUGAGAAUUUUUUUUAUAUAAUUUGAACCCCUAAAUAUUAGGACUUUUUACAUAAUUUAAAUAAGAAAAAAUUUAAUAAGAGAAUAUUAGUUGAUUCUAAAGUCCUAAAUAUCAGAAAAAUAAUAAAAUGACUAUUUUGUUCAGUAUGAAAUAUAUUUUAAAGGGUAAAAAAGGCAAACGUCAUUUCGCUAAGGGCCUUCGCGCUUUUAAUAUAAUAGUCUUAGGGUACGCGCAUGACACGUGUAUUCCAUCUUAAUGAGUAUAUGUUUAUAUUUAAAUUGUGUUUGAGUUAUAAAUAAAAAUUAAAAAGUGUAAAAAUGAUAUGAUUGUUGAUCUAUUUAGCUAAUUCAAAGAAAUAAACUCUAUCCUAUAGAAGUCCUUAAUCUCACUCGAUAUAUUCAACUUAAAAUUCUUCCAAUUUUGUAAUUUCGAAAAAAUUAUCUAAUGCGUCGGUUUCUACUACAAAUUAAUGUUAGCGUCAUUUAGAAGUUGAGUCUCCCAUUCUUUUAUGGUCUUCUUAUUACAUGGUAUAAAAAUCUCGCAAUAUAAGACUAAUAGAAAGCAUGUGAGAGUUGAACGGUUAAUCUUUUCCUUAUGUUACAUUCUCUGUCUCAUAGGCAUAUAUAAAAUAUUUGAUGUGCUUAUAAAACGUUAGAGCAAAAAGAAGAAAAAUAAUUUAAUUACUUGUUUUAGGUGAGCUUUUCUUUUAUUGCAUGAAGGAUAAACUACAUUAGUAGUUCAGAUACACCACUGUAAAAGUAAGUAUAAUAGUUACAUUUGUACAGCAAAAUUAAGCCAAACUACAAAACUGAAGGAAAACUAUGUUUUGUCAUGUUUACUUGUUGGUAACAGAAAAAACUUAUUGGGAAAGAAUAAGGUGGAUUUAUACCAACAUAUUGUUUUUUCUUUUUGACUUUUGUUUUAUAUUUUUUAAAGUUUUUUUGUACGUUGUUGUAUUUUUUUUCUUCCGGGAUAAUUAACAUUGAUCAUGGAAUCUGACAACAUGCAUAUUGUUUCCUGGAUUUAGUCUUAUACGAAUUUAGUACAAAACUAUAGUACAUCUUCUGUAACCGGAGGUGCUACCAGCCCAGCCGGUUGCGGCUGCUCAAGCCCCGGUGUUCCCAGUUAUGACCGAUGAUGAGCAGCGGAGGCUUGAGAGAUUUGAGAGGUUUCGUUCUCCAUUUAGCUAAUUCAUGUACACAUAUACAAAGAAACAUUGACCGUUUUCAUUAUCAGGCUUACCUUUACACUUUCUAACUUACGAAAUCAAAAAUAAAAAUAAAGGGUACAAUAAGUUAAACAGGAAGAAGUUAUACCUCAAUAUUGUGAUUGUAUCUACAGAGCGAGCCUUUUCAGCCCAAGCUUAAAUUUUUGAUUAAUUAUGAGGUCUUCACGAGGAGAAUAGUUAGUUCACAUAUACAUGGUAUAUGCCUCCUCGCUUAACUCUGGAUCUUUUGCAUGUUACAUGCAACAUGGUGCAUUCAGUAUAUGGCCUGUACGUUUUUCAAGUCCCUGUAACAUAAUAGUUUAAAGCAAACAAUGAUAAUUAAAGUAUCAAUUUCAAUUAUGUGAAGCAAAUAAGGAAUAUCGACUUAAGUUAAGGAUAAAAUUACAAAAUUUAACAAAGCAAAGAAAAUAAUAUCACACAAAGCAGGACAAAUAAGAAAGCACUUGAAGCAAUGAACUUGCAUUAACGAUAAACAUAUGCCUUGAUAAAAUAAAAUAGACUCUAAAGUACAAAGAAGAUUCAAAUUAAAUAGAAAAGAAAAACACACAUAAGGAAAAAGAAGAUCUAGGAUGCCCGUAAAUUCAUCUACUAAGUGUUUAAUUGUAACGAUCCGGCCGGUCGUUUUGAGUGUAUUAGCCCCGAUCCCCGAUUUACUAUUUUUUCCGUAUUGUUUCUGCUUAUGUGACUUGCCGGGAGGUCUUAUUUUUGGUUUCUGAGUGUUUUGAGACACUUAGUCCCUAAAACGGUAGCUUAAGUCUCAGGAUUUUGACUGUAGUCGGAAGUGUGUGAAGACGACUCCAGAAUAGAGUUCCGUCGAUUUCGUUAGCUCCGUUGGGAGAUUUUGGACUUACAAGCGUGUCCGCGCUGUGAAUUUGAGAUCUGUAGAUAAUUUAGGCUUAAAAUGGCGAAAGUCGAAUUUUUGGGAAGUUUCACCGUGGGGUUGACUUUUUGAUAUCGGGUCCGGAUUUCGAUUCCGGAAGUGGGAGUAGGUCCGUAAUGUUGAAUAUGACUUAUAUGCAAAAUUUGAGGUCAAUCGGACAUAGUUUUGUAGGUUUCAACAUCGUUUGUGGAAUUUAAAAGUUUAGAAGUUCUUUAGGCUUGAAUACAGGUGUAAUUGGUGUUUUGAUGUUGUUUUGAGUGAUUUGAAGAUUCGGCUAAGUUCGUAUGGGGUUAUAUGACUAGUUGGUAUAUUUGGUUGAGGUCCCGGGAGCCUCGGGGAUAUUUCGGAUGCCCAUCGGAAGGAAAUUUGGACUUAGGCAUUGCUCGUUUCUUAUCGUGUUCUCGUGUUUUGCACCUGCAGUAGGAGCCCGCAUGUGCAGCCCUGCAGAAGCGAAGAGGAUAACGCAGAUGCGGGCAAGGCUGGGUUGGACUGCAAGCGCAGAUACUAGGUUAAGAGGAGGACGCAAAUGUGGAAGGGUAGGCGCAGAUGCGGAAAAAGUUGAGUGAGAAGGAUCGCAGAAGCGGGCAGGGCCCGCAGGUGCGCACUCACAUGUGCGAAUAUGUGACAGCAGAUGCGGAAUCUGGGAGCUUAAGUGGGAUCCGCACCUGCGAUGGAAUUUUCGCAGAUGCGACAGAAGGUAUGCAGGUGCGGUUUUGCUGGGCAGAACCUAUAAAUAGAAGACUUCGAGAAUUUUCACCAUUUUCACAUUUUGGAACUCAUAUUUUGGAGGAUUUUGAGGAGGAUUUUGAAGUGUUUGCUGAGGUAAGUUCCUUGUGCCUAUUUAUCUUUAAUAAUUAUGUUUACCCACUGAUUUUACACAUAGUUGGUGAGUUUUUGAGGUGAGAUUUGGGAGAUUAGGGCUUGGAAAUUGGAGAGUGAAUUUUGGGGUAUUGGAGGGGCAAAUGAUGGCGGAUUUUGAUAAAUUUGGUAUGAUUGGACUCGUGAGUGAAUGGUCUUUUGGGUUUUGUGACUUUUGUCGGGUUUUGAGAUGUGGGCCCGAAGGGCUGGGUUGAGCCUAUUUCGGAUUGACUUAUAAUUUUGUGUUUCUCUUGUGGAAUUGAUUCUUUUAGCCAACAUUAAUUAUAUCGUACUGCUUGUGGCUAGAUUCGGGGAGUUUGAAGAUUGAUUCGAGGGGCAAAGGCAUUACGGAGUAGGAUUUUGCGCGGUUUGAGGUAAGUAAAAGUUUUAAAUCUGGUCCUGAGAGUAUGAAACCCCUGAUUUUUGUAUGAUGUAACUAUUUUGGAGGUGACGCACAUGCUAGGUGGCGGGCGUGUGGACAUGCACCGUGGGGGAUUGUGACUUGAUCCGUCCCAUGAGACUGUAAAGUCGAAUAGACAAUUGUUAAUUACCUGUUCUCUUUGUGUUAAAGAGAUUUGUCUGCAAAUCAUGUUAGAAAUCGUGCUUAGGCUAUGUGAUAGUACGGUUGGGACCCACAAAGGUCGCGUACCUGUGAAUUAUUUGCUAAUUGUUGUCUUGUACUUAGUCAUAGUUUUACUUGCACAUCAUAUCUGAGUCUCUUCUUGAUUCCUGUUGAUACACUAUGUUAUUUUGUUUUGGCUGAUCUUUAUGAUUUCUGAGGGCCGUGAGAUUAGAGAGGUACAUGACUGAGUGAGGCCGAUGGCCUGGUUGUGAGGUAUAGAUAUCGUAGCACGUGAGUUGUCCGUACGAAUCAUGAUGUUUAUACUUAGCACGUGAGUUGUCCGUGCAGAUUCUGAUAUGAUAUUGUAGCACGUGAGCGGUCUGUGCGGAUCUUGAUAUGAUACGAUAGCACGUGAGUUAUCCGUGCGGAUUAUAGCACUUGGGCUAUAGGAGCCCCUCCAGAGUCUACACACCCCUAGUGAGUGCAGGUACCUAUUGAGUGUGAGUAUGGAGGGCUGAUGCCGAGUGAUUGAGCUGUUGUGACGAGUUGAGUGUCUGUUGCCCUGUGAGGCUGUACUUGUUUUUCAUUUGUUGAUGCACUUAGUUGCUAUAUGUUAUUGUUAUGAAAUAUUUAAAAGAUUCUAUAUCCGGAUUACCUGCACUGUAAGUGUAUAAACUCAUUUGAAUUGAACUGCCGGAUUUGAAAGCACGUCUAUUCUUUGUUGGAAUUAUUGAAAAUGAACAGUAUUUGUAUAGCUCGUCACUACCUUCUCAGUUCCUAAUUUAUUUCUGUUACUUGCUGAGUUGGUUGUACUCAUGCUACACCCUGCACUUCAUGUGUAUAUCCAGAUGUGUUUGAUCACGGAGGUCGUUGAAUUCGUGCGCGAUCGAGUACCAGAGACUACGAGGUAGCUGCCGGCAUCCGCACACCUUAUCUCUCCUUCUAUGUUUUUCCUUCUAUUUGUAUUGAAUCUUAGACAUUGUUUGUAUUAGACUGGAUAUCUAGAUGCUCAUGACUUAGUGACACCCCGAUGUAAGACUAUGUUUCCACACUUAUGCUUUGGGUUUUACCCCAUUUUUAUGAAAGACUCCGGUUAUUUUAAAUAUAUUAAUUCAUUUCUGUUAAAUGUUGAAAGUGUUUUGGAGAUGUCGACUUGUCUAGUAUCACGAUAGGCACCAUCACGACGGGUUAGGUUUUGGGUCAUGACAAGUUGGUAUCAAAGCAUAGGUUACAUAGGUUUUACGAGUCAUGAGCAGGUUUAGUAGAGUCUUGCGGAUCAGUACGGAGACGUAUGUACUUAUUUUCGAUAGGCUGCCGAGCCCUUAGGAAAAAACUUCACAUUCUUGAAUUCUUGUCAUGCAAAUCAGUUGAUUCUGGUGACUAAACAUCUGUUGUUUCAUUCUCUCACAGAUGGUGAGGACUCGUACUACGGGGUAGGAUGGAAAGCCACCAGUACCUCCAGCCAGGGCCGUGAGAGGCCGAGGUUGCGAUAAAGGCCGCGGUAGGGGCAGAGGUGUAUCUCGCACCGCAGCUAGGACAGCACCUAUAGAUCCAUCAGUUGCCCAGUUCAGGAGCAGGCUCCAGUUGUGGAUGUGCCAGUGGGACCAACUCAGGCACUACCUGUGCCUAUUGUGAUUCCAGGCCUUCAGGAGGCCUUAGCUCAGAUUCUGACUGCGUGUACCAGUCUUGCUCAGGUGGACUCUGUUCCGGCCGCAACAGCCACUUCUCAGGCCGGGGGAGGUGCUCAGACUCCCGCCGCCUGCUCACCAGAGCAGGUGGUACAUGGAUUCUAGACACCGGAGGCACCACCAUCCCAACCGGUUGCAGCUGCUCAGGAUUAUGUGGUACCUGUCAUGCCUGAUGAUGAGCAACGUUGAUUGGAGAGGUUUGGGAGACUCCAUCCUCCAUCUUUCAGUGGUACCGAGGGAGAGGAUGCACAAGGCUUAUUGGAUAGGUGUCAGAGGAUACUCCGUACAACAGGUAUUCUAGAGACCAGUGGGGUCUCGUUCACUACUUUUCAGUUCUCUGGGGAUGCCUUCAGUUGGUGGGAGGCUUACGAGAGGUGUAGUCCGGUCGGCGCAGCACCCCUUACCUGGCAGCAGUUCUCAGGUCUAUUCUUGGAGAAGUUCGUGCCUUAGUCCCGUAGAGAGGAGCUGCGCAGGCACUUCGAGCAGCUUCGUCAGGGUGAUAUGUCCGUGACGCAGUAUGAGAUGAGAUUUUCAGAGUUGGCCCAUCAUGCUAUCUGGUUGGUUCCCAUAGAUAGGGAGAGGUUCAGAAGGUUCAUAAAUGGCCUCACUUUUCCGCUGCGAUUGCUUAUGACUAGAGAGAGAGAGUGUGUGGUGCUACUUUUAAUGCAGUUGUCGACAUUGCUCAUCAGAUUGAGAUGGAUCGCAGCCAGGAGCGGGUUGAGAGGGAGGCCAAGAGGCCUCGUGGACAGGGUGGAUUUAGCGGUGUUCUUUCUGUGGGCAGUUCCACCACGGUAGGGGUCAUCCUUUCAGACAUGCUCAGACGGCUCGCCCAGUCCACCGUGGUGCAUCAUCUGGCCAUGGGUCACACAAUCAUUAGCAGGGCAAGUCGUCAUUCAGUGCGCUACCAACGCACAGUUCUCACCAUGCCUCAUCAGCUCAGGUUUCCACAGGUAGUUCCUCUAGGCAUCAGGAGCAGCAGUUUCGUCAGAGGAGGGGUUGUUUGGAGUGCGGAGAUUUUUGAUCACAUUAAGAGAUAUUGAGGCCGAUCAGGGGGUGGCCAGGCUCGUUUCUAUGCUCUCCCUGCCAGACCAGAUGACAUUGCUUCGGGUGCUGUGAUUACAGGUAUUGUCUUAGUUUUCCAUAGAGAUGCCUUUGUACUAUUUGACCCCGGUUUCACUUAUUCAUAUGUGUCCUCGUAUUUUGCCCAUUCUCUGGUUAUGCCUCGUGUGUCUCUAGUUGCAUCUGUUCGUGUAUCCACUCUAGUAAGUGAUACUAUCAUUGUGGACCGUGUAUAUCGGUCAUGUGUGGUGACUAUUGGGAGUCUAGAGACUAGAGUGGAUCUCUUGUUGCUUAGUAUGGUCGAUUUUGACGUGAUUUUAGGUAUGGAUUGGUUGUCUCCAUGUCAUGUUGUUCUAGAUUGUCACGCUAAGACCGUGACGUUGGCGAUGCCGGGGUUGCCGAGGGUUGAGUAGAGCGGCUCUAUAGACUAUGUUCACAGUAGAGUGAUUUCAUACUUGAAAGCUCAGCGGAUGGUUGAGAAGGGUUGUCUAUCUUAUCUGGCCUUUGUGAGGGAUGUUAGUGUAGAGGCCCAAAUUAUUGAUUCUGUUCCGGUGGUGCAAGAUUUCCCGGAUGUGUUUCCUGUAGACCUGCCGGGCAUGCCGCCCGAUAGGGAUAUUGAUUUCGGUAUUGAUUUGGUGUCGGGCACUUAGCCCAUUUCUAUUCCACCGUACGUAUGGCACCGGCUUAGUUGAAGGAGUUGAAGGAGCAGCUUUAAGAACUCCUUGAUAAGGGGUUUAGUUGGCCUAGCGUGUCACCUUGGGGUGAACCAGUUCUAUUUGUGAAUAAGAAGGAUGGUACUUUGAGAUUGUGCAUUGAUUACAGAUAGUUGAACAAGGUCACAAUCAAGAACAAGUAUACUUUGCCGCAUAUUGAUGAUUUGUUUAACCAACUUCAGGGAGCAAUGGUGUUCUCCAAGAUUUAUUUGAGGUCAGGGUAUCACCAGUUGAAGAUUCGGGACUCAGAUAUUCUUAAGACAGCUUUCAGGACCCAAUAUGGCCAUUAUGAGUUCCUUGUGAUGUCUUUAGGGCUGACCAACGCCCAGCAAGGUUCAUGCAUCUUAUGAACAAUGUGUUUCGGCCUUAUCUUGAUUCGUUUGUUAUUGUAUUCAUUGAUGACAUCCUGGUGUACUCUCGUAGCCAAGAGGAGCAUGCCCAGCAUCUGAGGAUUGUGUUACCGCGAUUGAGGGAGGAGAAGCUUUAUGCAAAGUUCUCCAAGUGUGAGUUUUGGCUCAGUUCAGUGGCGUUCUUGGGGCAUGUGGUGUCUAGUGAGGGUAUUCAGGUGGAUUCGAAGAAGAUAGAAGCGGUGCAGAGUUGGCCCAGAGCGUCCUUAGCCACGGAGGCUCGGAGUUUUCUUGGGUUAACGGGCUAUUACCAUCAUUUUGUGGAGGGUUUAUCAUCUAUUGCAUCGCCCUUGACUAAAUUGACCUAGAAGGGUGCUCCUUUCAGGUGGUCGGAUGAGUGCGAGGAGAGCUUUCAGAAGCUCAAGACUGCUUUGACAACGGCUCCAGUUUUAGUUCUGCCAUCAGCUUUUGGUUCUUACACGGUGUAUUUUGAUGCCUCACAGAUCAAUAUUGGGUAUGUUCUGAUGCAGGAGGGUAGAGUGAUUGCUUAUGCUUUGUGCCAGUUUUAGCCCCAUCAGAGGAACCAUCAUGUCCACGACCUUGAGUUAGCAGUUAUUGUUCACGCCUUGAAGAUUUGGCGGCACUAUUUGUACGGGGUCCAUUGUGAGAUUUACACUAAUCAUCGUAGUUUGCAGCAUCUGUUCAAAUAGAAAGAUCUUAACUUGUGUCAGCGGAGGUGGUUGGAGCAUCUUAAGGACUAUGAUAUCACCAUUUUGUACCAAUCCGGAAAGGCCAAUAUGGUGGCCGAUGCCUUGAGUCAUCGGGCGAAGAGUUUUGGGGAACUUAGCAUAUCUUUCAGCAGUAGAGAGGUCAUUAGCUUUGGAUGUUCAGGCCUUAGCUAGCCAGUUUGUUAGAUUGGAUGUUUUUUAGCCGAGUCGAGUAUUGGCUUGUAUGGUCUCUCGGUCUUCUCUUUAUGAUCGUAUUAGGGAGCGUCAAUAUGAUGAUCCCCAUCUGCUUGUCCUUAAGGACACGGUCUAGCACAGUGAUGCUAAGAAUGUCACUAUUGGGGAUGAAGAUGCAUUGAGGAUGCAAGGCAGGCUAUGUGUACCCAAUGUAGAUGGUUUGCGUGAGCUGAUUCUCUACGAGGCUCACAGUUCGCGGUAUUCUAUUCAUCCGGGUGCCGCGAAGAUAUAUCAAGACUUGAGACAAUAUUAUUGGUGGAGGAGAAUGAAGAAGUACAUAGUGGAGUAUAUAACUCGGUGCCUAAAUUUCCAGCCGGUGAAGUAUAAGCACCAUCAACCAGGAGGGUUGCUUCAGAAGUUAGAGAUUCCGGAGUGAAAAUGGGAGAGGAUCACUAUGAAUUUCGUUGUUGGGCUUCCACAGACUCAGCGAAAGUUUGAUGCAGUUUGGGAGAUUGUGGAACAGCUGAACAAGUUAGCUCAUUUCAUUCCUAUGAUGACUACCUAUUCUUCCGAGCAGCUGGCUCCAGUGUAUAUCCGCGAGAUUGUCAAGCUUCAAGGCGUACCAGUAUUUAUCAUUUCUGACCGGGGUACGCAAUUUACAUCAUGGUUCUGGAGGGCCGUACAACAUGAGUUGGGUACUAAAGUGGAGUUGAGCACAACAUUUCACCCUUGGACGGACGGAUAGUCCGAGCACACUAUUAAGAUAUUAGAGGAUAUGCUUUGUGCGUGUGUGAUGGAGUUUGGGGGUUCGUGGGAUUAGUUCUUUCCUCUAGCAGAGUUUGCUUAUAACAACAGUUACCAGUCGAGCAUCCAGAUGGCACCGUAUGAGGCUCUGUAUGGUACGCGGUGUAGGCCUCCAAUGGGUUGGUUCGAGUCGGGCGAGGCUAGAUUAUUGGGUACAGACUUGGUUCAGGAUGCUCUGGAGAAAGUUAGGGUGAUUCAGGAUAGACUACGCACAGCUCAGUCCAGACAGAAGAGUUAUGCACAUCGGAAGAUUCACGAUGUUGCAUUCAUGGUUAGAGAGCGGGUCUUGAUCCUUGUGUAACACAUAAAGGGUGUUAUGAGGUUCGAAAAGAAGGGCAAACUGAGCCCGAGGUUUAUCGGUCCAUUUGAGGUAUUGCGACGUGUUGGGGAGGUUGCUUAUGAGCUUGCCUUGCCUCCUAGUGUAGCAGGAGUUCAUCCAGUAUUCCAUAUUUCUAUGCUCCAGAAGUAUCACGUUGAUCCGUCUCACGUCGAUCCGUCUCACGUAUUGGAUUUCAGCUUAGUCCAGUUGGACAAGGAUUUAUCUUAUGUUGAGGAGCUGACUUAGAUAGGCAGGUUCAAAAGCUGAGGUCGAAGAAUAUUGCUUCUGUGAAGGUUCAGUUAGGGGGUCAGCUGGUCGAGGAGGCGACUUGGGNNNNNNNNNNNNNNNNNNNNNNNNNGGAUAUAACGACCAGGCCGGUCAUUUUGAGUGUAUUAGCCCCGAUCCUCUAUUUACUGUUUUCUCCGUAUCAGUUUCUGCUUAUGUGACUUACCGGGAGCUCUUAUUUUUGGUUUCAGAGUGUUUUUGGACACUUAGUUCCUAAAACGAAAGCUUAAAUCUCAGAUUUUGACCGUAGUCAGAAGUGUGUGAAGAUGACUCCGGAAUGGAGUUCCGUUAGAUCUAUUGGUAGAUUUUGGACUUAGGAGCGUGUCCAGACUGUGAAUUUGAGGUAUGUAGCUAAUUUAGGCUUGAAAUGGCGAAAGUCGAAUUUUUGGAAAGUUUGACUAGGGAGGUUGACUUUUUGAUAUCUGGGUCGAAUUCCGAUUCCGAAAGUUGGAGUAGGUCCGUAAUGUUGAGUAUGACUUGUUUGCAAAAUUUGAGGUCAAUCGGACGUGGUUUGAUAGGUUUUGGCAUCGUUUGUGGAAUUUGAAAGUAUAGAAGUUCCUUAGGCUUGAAUCCGGAUAUAAUUGGUGUUUUGAUAUUGUUUUGAGUGAUUUGAAGGUUUGGCUAAGUUCGCAUGGGGUAAUAUGACUAGUUGGUAUGUUUGGUUGAGGUCCCGGAGGCCUCGGGGGUGUUUUUCGGAUGCCCAUCGGAAGGAAAUUUGGACUUAGGCAUUGCUGGUUCCUUCUCGUGUUCUGGUAUUUCGCACCUGCAAUGGGAGCCUGCAGGUGCGGCCCCGCAGAAGCGAAGAGGAGGAAGCAGAUGCGGGGAAGGCUGGGUUGGACUGGAAGCGCAAGUGCGAGGUUAAGAGCGCAUCUGCGAAAUCGUAUAUGCGGAAGGGUAAGCGCAGAUGCGGAAAAAGGCCUGAGUGGGAAGGAUGGGAGAAACGGGUAGGGCCCGCAGGUGCGAAUAUGUGACCGCAGAUGCGGAAUAUGGGAGCUUAAGUAGGAUCUGCACUUGCGAUGGAAUUUUCGCAGGUACGGCAUCGCAGAUGCGACAGAAGGUCCGCAGGUGCGGUUAUGCUUGGUAGAACCAAUAAAUAGAAGACUUCGAGAUUUUUCACCAUCUUCACAUUUUGGAACUUGAUUUUUAGAGUAUUUUGAAGUGUUUGCAAAGGUAAGUUCUUUGUGCCUAUUUAUCUUCAAGAGUGGUGUUUACCCACUGAUUUUACACCUAGUUGGUGAGUUUUUGAGGUGAGAUUUGGGAGAUUAGGGGUUGGGAAUUUGAGAGUGAAAUUUGAGGUUUUGGAGGGGCAAAUGAUGUCGGAUUUUGAUAAAUUUGGUAUGGUUGGACUCGUGAGUGAAUGGGCUUUCGGGUUUUGUGACUUUUAUCGGGUUUCGAGAUGUGGGCCCGGGAGGGGGGCUGGGAUGAGCCUAUUUCGAAUUUUGACUUAUAAUUUUGUGUUUCUCUUGUGAAAUUGAUUCUUUUAUCAUACAUUAAUUAUAUCGUACUGCUUGUAGCUAGAUUCGGGGUGUUUGGAGAUUGAUUCGAGGGGCAAAGGCAUUGCGGAGUGAGAUUUUGCGCGGUUUGAGGUAAGUAACAGUUUUAAAUCUGGUCAUGAGGGUAUAACCCUGGAUUUUGGUAUGAUGUAACUAUUUUGGAGGCGACGGACAUGCUAGGUGACGGGCGUGCACCGUGGGCAAUUGUGGCUUGGUCCAUCCCGUGAGACUGUAAAGUCGAAUAGACUAUUGUUAAUUACCUGUUCUCUCUGUGUUAUCGAGAUUUGACUGCAAAUCAUGUUAGAAAUUAUGCUUAGGCUAUGUGAUAGUACUGUCGGGACCCGUAGAGGUCGCGUAACUGUGAAUUAUUUGCUAAUUGAUGUCUUGUACUCAGUCAUAGUUUUACUUUCACAUCAUAGCUUAGUCUCUUCUUGAUUCCUGUUGAUAUACUGUGUUAUUUUGUUUGGACUGAUCCUUAUGAUUUCUGAGGGCCGUGAGACUAGAGAGGUACAUGACUGAGUGAGGUCGAGGGCCUGGUUGUAAGGUAUAGAUACCGUAGCACGUGAGUUGUCUAUGCGAAUCAUGAUGUUUAUACUUAGCACGUGAGUUGUCCGUGCGGAUUCUGAUAUGAUACUGUAGCACGUGAGCGGUCCGUGCGGAUCUUGAUAUGAUACGAUAAGACGUGAGUUGUUCGUGCAGCACGUGAGUUGUCCGUGCGGAUUAUAGCGUUUGGGCUGUAGGAGCCCCUCCGGAGUUUGCACAUCCCUAAUGAGCGCAUGUACCUAUUGAGUGUGAGUACUAAGGGCUGAGAGCCGAGUGAUUGGGCUGUUGUGACGAGUUGAGUGUCUAUUGCCCUCAGAGGCUGUACUUGUUUUUCAUUUGUUGAUGCACUUAGUUGCUAUAUGUCAUUGUUUUGAAAUUUUUGAAAGAUUCUAUAUCCGGAUUACAUGUACUGUAACUGUAUAAAUUGAUUUGACUUGAACUGCCGGAUUUGAAAGUAUGUCUAUUCUUUGCUGGAAUUAUUGAAAAUGAACAGUAUUUGUAUAGCUCGUCAUUACCUUCUAAGUUCCUUAUUUAUUUCUGUUACUUGCUGAGUUGGUUGUACUCAUGCUACACCCUGCACUUCAUGUGCAUAUCGAGGUGUGUUUGAUCACGGAGGUCGUUGAGUUCGUGCGCGAUCGAGUACCGGAGACUACGAGGUAGCUGCCGACGUCCGCAAACCUUGUCUCUCCUUCUAUGUUUUUUCUUCUUUCUGUAUUGAUACUUAGACACUGUUUGUAUUAGACUGGAUAUCUAGAUGCUCAUGACUCAGUGACACCUCGAUGUCGGGCUAUUUUUCCGCACUUAUGCUUUGAGUUUUACCCUUUUUUUAUGAAACACUUCGGUUAUUUUAAAUAUAUUAAUUCAUUUAUGUUAAAUGUUGAAAGUGUUUUGGAAAUGUCGGCUUGCCUUGUAUCACGAUAGACGCCAUCACGACGGGUUAGAUUUUCGGUCGUGACAUUAAUAGAUAUUAAGUUUGAUAUCCAUAAUUUGAACUACGUAUUUGAGUUCUACCAUAUGUCUAUUCGAUAUGAAAAACCUAGAAUCACUUGGAUGCUAUUAUUUUAAUAUCUGUUUAGCAUAUUUUGAAUCUUGGCAUUAAAGAGGUAGUGUUUAAUAAAAAUUAUUGUUCUAUAUUCAGUAUCCCUCUUACCAAAUCAGCCUACCUAUUUUUGUUAAAUUACCAAGAAAAAAGGUUUUAAAAAGUCGUUCAAUACGGAAACAUACACUCCAAAUAAUACCGAUACAUUCGCGUAGGUUCUGAUGUUAUUUCUUUUCUUUUACAAUUAUGGUAUAUUCAUAAUUUAAAUAAGGAAAAAUUUAAUACCUAAAACUUAGUUGAUGUUAAAAAGACUAAAUAUUAGAUAAAUAAUUAAAUGACUAUUUUGUCUAGGGUGUAAGUUAUUUUUAAAAGGAUAAAAAGAGCGAACAACAUUUCGUUAAGGGUAUUCGUGCUUUUAAUAUAAUAUAAAUAUAGAUAUUAAAUUUUAAUUUAAACUUUGUUUGCGCAUCUAACAAUAUCCUAUCGAAGUAUCUCAUGAGUCAUCAUCAAACUCACCGGCUUGUUUGAAGAUUCUUUAUGCAAAAUUCAAAUCACCCGGAGGGGCGGACGUAGAAUAGCGAUACCUUGUUCAUAUGAACCCAUAACUUUCGAUGCGGAAUAUAAAUUUAUGUAUAAAGAAUAAUUAAAAUUAUAACAAAAGAUAGGUUUGAACCCAUAAGUUUAAAAAUAUAAUCGGUUCAAUACUAAGAGGUUUAAAGGUUGAACAGAUAAAAUUUAAAUUCUGAAUCUGCAUCCGGGUAUUUCUAGCCACCAAAUCAUACAUGCUAUGUACAUGCCAUCAAUCCAUAACUAAAUCCACUGCCUAAAGUCUAUUUUGAAUAUAAGAAGACUCUUUUCUUUUUCUCUUUUCUAGAAUAAUUAGCAAGCGUCCUAGCUAGAUUAGACAAAGUGUGUGUGUGUGUGUGUUUUAGCUCAGACGCAUGCUUCCAGAAAAUGGAAUGAACAGUUAUUUUGCUUUAUAAAAAUCUUGAGGAAUGUUUCUCAAAAUGUGAAGAGGGGUUUGAAUAGUGUGCCAUUUGCGCAUUUUGUGACUCUUUCUCGUGCUUUUUCUCUAUCAAUUUCAAAGCCUCAUCUAAUGUAAGAUACUGCUUAAAAAGUAAGCAUGAGAUACAUUUACGUUAAAGUUCAUACUUUGGCUGUUUAGUAUUCAUCCACGCUUCCAAAAUUUGACUUCCUUUUUCUUACUUUUUGACAAGAAGUUAUAUUUUCGAAACAAUUUUUAUUUCACUAGAUAAAAAAAGUAUAUAUAAACUUCGAACUUUCUUACAAGUGGCUCAUGUAUAUAUUCUAAUAACAUUUUGUAAAGUUAGAGAUUGGACUCUUAACGAAUAUUCUUAAGCUGGGUAGCGAAACGAAUUUUCUUGAAAACCAAGGUAAUGUAUUCUUAAUUCUACCAAAUAGUCUUUUCAAAUCUUAAUACGAAAAGAUAAUUAAUAAGGUAAUUGAGAAACUAAGUGUUUGAUCAUAGAAAAACAGCAUAGGAUAAUUUCAUAUGUUCGUCUUUUGAACCUUAAGACUUCAAAAAGUUUAUACUAAAUGGAAUGUUCUUAAGCUUCAGGGAUAUAAGAUUUCCAAAACUUUUGACUUUAAUGGGAAGUAUAAUUAAGUAAUCAAGCUUAAAAUUUCCAGGAAAACAUAAAAAAGAACGGAGGAUCCGAAAAGAAGAGCGGACAGAAGCGGAGCUAGAAUUUGAACUUUACGGAUUCUAAACUCUAAAAUAGUAACAUCGUAUGAUAGUAACUCGGUUCUUAAUUUAACAUUCUUGCAUAUCUAAUGAAUUUUUUAAUGCGAAUACAAUGUUUGGAUUAAACUAUUGGAUUGGAUCGAACUCAUACGCGAACCUCUAGCUCCGCCCCUAGAGCCACAAUAUUAGUUACAAGUUCGGAUAUAUUUAAUAAUUUCUGCUUAGUGUAUUUGUGUUAGAAAAUCUCUUAAAUGUAUUUAAAUAUUUAAUUACAAACCCUAUAUCUAUGAAUUAAACGGCAAGUUUUAAAUCCAUAAACGUCAAAAUUGUGUCUUCGCCUCUCGUUCAAAGGGAAUCAGUUAGUAGUAAUAGUAGAAGUAGUAGUCAAAGAAAGAUUCUGAAAACUUCCCAAAGAUUGCAAUCAGAGAAAGUCAGCAAUAUGAAAGCUCUUCAUCGUUUAUGCUUAAAAUAUACAUACAAGUAGCAGCCAGUACUGUAGCUCAACGGCAUUGGUGAGUCACUGGGCGGAUGUAGUGCAUUGUGGAUGGGUUAUAUUGAACGCAUAACUUUCGAUGCAGAGUAAAAAUUUAUAUGUAAAAAUUAAUUAAAAUUACAAAAAUAGUAGAUAUGAACCCAUAAUUUUAAAUAUAUAAUUGGUUCAAUGCUAAAAAUUUCAAAAGUUGAACCUACAUAAUUUAAAUCUUGGAUUCGUCGCUGUGUCCCGUUACCCCUCGCCCCUACCACCCCACCUGAAUACACAGAGUACAGUAGCAGCUGCCUCAGCUCAGGUCAGCUGGACCCUCAAAAUCAGGCUCCUCACUGGCCACUUGUCCUGCCUCAGCCACCAUUGCUAAAAUCAAUACUGUCCAUUGCGGCCGCAUAGCUAAUUUGCGCUACGUGACUACAAAAACAUAUCGUUCAUUUAUUAUUACUCUCUUUAUUUCGCUAGCUUUUAGCCAUAGGUUUCUUAAUUUAUUUUAAAAAAUUUAAGUUGGGUAAAGUUUGGUUUGAAAAUAAAAAUAUAUUUGCAUAUCAAUUUUCAAAAUAUAUUUUACUUUUUUUUUUAAAAAAAAAAUACUCCUAUGAUUUAUACUCACAAGUUCUAAAAACUAUUACGAAUACCUAACAAUACAUUUAUCAAUAACAUUCAUUAUCAUUAUCAUAAACAAGCCUUACUUCAUACCGUUGUGAGACUAGUCUGGUACGGUUUUUGUCUAAGCUAGCUAGUGGCAAUGUCGUGUCUUACUAUUUUGCGUUUCAGUGCUGGACCUAUUUACUAGCUAUCGUUUUUGCUUUGCAUCUUUCUUCUCGAUUUCAUAUUGUUCCUAUUUUUCCUAUGAUUUCUGUGGUGAUACUGAUAUUGUCUCCUUUUGUCUUUUUGUCCCCUUGAGUCGAUGGUCUUUUGAAAACAACUUCUCUACCUCUUCGGGGUAGGGGUAAGGUCUGCAUACAAACUACUCUCCCCAUACCCCACUAGUAGAAUUUCACUGGGUUGUUAUUGUUGUUGUUGUAUCACAAACCAUAGUCCUGGACAUAAAUAAAUUUGGUACAAAAUUAUUAUUUUUAUAAUGAACUACAUAAUAUACACUAUCAGAUGACCGAGAAGAUAAAGCAGCAUUGUUACAAAAUAAUAAAUGGUGGGCUAUUUUAUAAAAUAUAAAUAUUUGGGGUAUUUUUUAAAAAUUUUAAAAAAUAUAAUAGUAAUAUUUUGGGCCAAAACCAGCUCUUAAGCUAGUUUUAAGAUUUGAGAAUUUGACAAAAUAUGAAUAAAAUUUAUGAACAAACAUGUAUUUGCCAAAAAAAAAUUUAGAAAAAUUUUAACAAAAUCUAUGACCAAACAGGUCCUUCAUUUUAUAUUGGAGUAGAGCUAGAUAUAGCUUACCCGAAUCUUGUAGUUUUAGUUCAUAUUAUGUACUACUAUUUAUUCUAAGAAAAUUAUCAAAUAUAUAUAAAUUAUGAAAUUAAAAUUUAAUUAUAUAAAAAGCUUGGAUCUCAAACUCAUAAACUUCAAAUGCUGACUUUGAAUUUUUAUAUGACGAUCCUUUUCUUAGUCUAUUUUAAAAAGGAUAUUACCUUUUUAAUUUCAAAGAUUUUAUUUACCCUUAAUAGUAUAUUUUUAUAAUUAAGAAAUAUCAUGUCAUAUUUAAAAUCAGCACAAAUUCAAAAUAUAUUUUUGCUAUGUUUCAAAAGUCCUUUUAAAAUGUAUAGACUUUUUGGCAAAUAAAAGGUCACGGUCAUAAAGAAGAUUUGCUAGUGUGGAAAGAGGCAAUCCAGAGAAUGGAAUUUUUGCUUCUGGCAGAUUUAAGUAGUGUCACUUAGGAACAAUUUUUGUACCUUUUAGUCUUUUUCAAUGUACCAACAAUAAAAAGUCUUUUUUAAAAAUUAAGUUUUAAACUAAGUCAAACAACAUUAUAUAAAUGAAAUGGAUAUGGUGAGUCUCAAAAUAGUUUAAGAGAAGAUGAAUGUAAGGUCUUUUCUCACUAGAUAUAAAAGUUUUAGAACCCGAGCAACUUGUCACGAUCCAAAAUUCCGUUUUAGGUUUUGUGAUGACACUUAAUUUUUAAAAUUAGGUAAGCCGAUUACUUACAACAGUUAAACAUGAUAUUUUAAAGCAGAGUUUAAUAUAAAUACUGAAAUAAAGGUGACACAAGCUUACGCAGCAAUAAUCCCAACAAUCCUCCCAAGACUAGAUAGUACAGAGUCACGAACUCUCGCUGAAUACAUAGAUAUACCUAGAAUAAAAUACAGUUCGGAUAAUGAAUUACCAGUACAAUUCCAAGGAAAAGGACUCCAAGGUACUGCGGCGAUCGAGCAAUUCUACCUUGAAACCUCAUGAUCGAAGAAGCUAACACUGUCUGGGCCGUUAUCUCCAAUACCCGAUCAUCAUUAUCAAUAAUAACAACAUAUUCAUUGUGAUUCUAUAAGUAAAAUUUGAGAAGAUUGGAAUGUUCACAAAUGUUAUCCCUAUUUUGUAUAAGAUAUAAAUGUUAUUUUUGAUAGAUUUUUUGGCUCAAGAAAAUGCAAAUCCAAUAAAACGCAUAAUGUUUUUGUGUUGUACUGUUCCAAGGUCCACCUUCCUUCAAGUAACUAAUAUAAUAUGUAAGAUGAAUUUUAAUAUCACAACUGCAAAGUUUUCUCAUAUACCGUAGGAAGUAUCUUUAAUUUUUAGGCACGUACUUUUAUAAGGACAGAAGUCACGAAAUGGUAAUGGGAAAUAUACGCACUCCCCAUUUUGCCCAUUUGCCCUUUCCCUCCUUUGUAAAGGCAACCCCUCUGCGCUGUCUCCAUGCUAUGGUCCCGCGCUUUCCUCUCCUUUCUUCCAAGUGAUCUUCGGCUCCUCACAAAAAGCACUAUGGUAUAUAAAGUAUUUCUUAUUUAUGAAGCGUCCGGGAAAAAGUCACAUUCAUUAUAAAUAGCCUUUUCCAACACAAGCAUUAGAAAUUACUUUCACAACUUAAACCUGAUUUAGGUCACAACGCAGAGGCGAACACACAUGAUGAGUUGAGGAGUCACCAACACCCAAAAACUUCGACAAAAACUGUAUGUAUACUUGCAAAUAUCUUUUAAAAAGAGUUAGAUAUUAGUAUAAGCCUCCGUACCAAUCUUCAUAAGUAGUGAUAAAUUUAUAUUGAAUGUCAUGGUCCCCCAGCGACCGCCGAAUCUUAGGUCCACCUCUGUUACAAAAAGAUAACGUUAUUGUCGCUCUUAAGACUAUUUUAAAAAUUGUAUACGAGAUAGAGGUGGCAAAAUGAUAAGUUAUGUGUCCUGCUAUAUUUUGAUGAUCUGACAACCUUAAUUUUAAGAACCAGAUGGGGAACCUGUUCCACAUCCUCUGAGUGCUCAAAGAUCAACAAGUCUCAAGUCUGGGACAUGCUCCAACUUUCAGAGUCCAAGAAACAACAGAGGGAACAGAUCGACAUCAGUUCUCUUGUUGACAGUACUAGUCAACUCCCCACAACUAUAAAGUGACUGCAACUGUUCCUCUGCACACACGCAACAAUGCAAACAGUGGAGCAGCCACUUUAUAGGGAAUGCCUUUGUACCAAACAUGCUUGCAUCAUUCAAGUUAUGUCACUUAUGUAAUAUUAACAUGAAGCAAAGCAAAAACAAUACACUUGCACACUCAGAAUCGAUCAAGCUCUCUCUCAAGUGUAUUGCCAACUUGCAAGUGACAUUCAAGGAGUCAAGAACAAAGAGCAACAUAACGAAGGACCAGUUUCUGCAUUGAGUCAUCAUAUGUCCUUAGUUGUGUAUUACCUUUGUCAAAAUAAUUUACUUGUAAUUCCUACUUAGCUUAGUUAGAAGUAUUGUGUAGGAAACCAUUGUAAAAUCAUAAACCAUACGUUUGUGUCUUGGCUAGAGUUAGUCGAGUUGUAAUCUUUGUUAUAGAGUUAUUACAAAGCGGCUUGUAAUAGAGUUGUUACAAGUUAGUGAAGGAUUAAGAGGUUAAUUCCUAGGUUACAACAGUUUGUAAUUUGAAGUUUGCUCAGUAGUGAAGUUGAAAUCCUGCAAGGGUAGGUCGUGGUUUUUAAUCCCGUGAGCUGAAAGUUUUUCACGUAAAACUCUAAUGUGUCAUUUACUUACUGUUGUUUGCGUGCGUUCUGUGGAAACAGAUAGAGAACCUGGUUCUCCAUAUAGUUUGGUGGACCCUUAAUUUCUAUCACAAAAUGAAUUCAUUCUCUUGUAAUCGAUUCAACCCGUUUAGAUUUAAAAGGGUUGAAUUAUGAUUUGUUUGUUGACUUAACCCCAUGAAUCGAAUUCAAAAUAAUCCAUCAAAUUAUUAGAUCAAAUCGGACAAUAUAGUAUAACCUAACGGAUCAAAAUGUAACCCAACCCAAACAUACAAAGUAAAAUAAGAGCAAAUUCUUGCUUCUGAUUUUUUAAAAAGCCCUUUAUUAUGAGUAGAGAAUCCGAAUUAACUGUAAUGAAGGUCAGAUGGAUUCAAAAUUCUUGACACUGUGAUUUGAUUUGAUAUUUUCUCCACUAAUCUGUUACCUUGACAACAUAUGCCCUCAUUAUAAUAUUUUUCCUAAAACAUCUAGAUUAUAAUAUUUUCACAAAACAAUAAGCUUAGAUUAGGAUAGGUGAAAAACGAAUAUCUAGUACUUUUUUCCCGUCGAAUGAAGAGAAGAAAAAUUUAUAGAUUGCAAUAUUAUUUUAUUAUGAGAACUAUAUUUUUAUAAUUCAUUAUGAAGUUGUUAAUAAAUAAUUCAGAUUAUAUCUGUCAAAAAAUUUAUAUUGUGUAUAUAAAGUAGAAAAAUUCUUUUAUGUAUAUAUGUAAGAUGUUGAAUCUUUUUAGCUAUAAUUCUAGAUAAAAUUUUUGCGUUCGCCACUCCUCGUUUGAAUUUCUUAUUGAAGAAUUGGAGUUCGUAUUGAGAAGUAUCCUUUUGUAAACAGACAAACAGUAGAGUAGAAUAAUGAGCUUUGAACUUAUGAUACUAUGGUUGUAAGUGUGACUCUUGUCCACUUGAUGCCUCUUUUGAGGAAGAAAAAUAAUUUAAUUCAUGAACCAAGAAAGAGCAUAAAAAGUGGUCCACUAAUGUAAUAAUGCAUAUGAACUGCUUGUAAAUCUCCUUUUUAAAUAUUUAGCAACAAAGGAGGAAGGCAGUCAUGUGAAAUAUGUAUGGAGGUACUAUUAUAUAUAUUUAUUAUAUUGGUAUGGAAGAUUCUAUUUCUUUUGUUAAUAUUUUUUCUCUGAAUAGGAUUACACGUGGCAAUACAGGGUGAUUGCAUUUUGAUGGCAAUGUAUGGGUAAAAUAUCAAAGGCCAUAGUUGUGUGUCCCUUCUUGCAAUUAGGCUGCUAAAAAAAGUGUUAUUAUUUAUAUUGCUAAAAAAAGUGUUAUUAUUUUCACUUUUAACUCGCGUCAGAAAUUAUUUAUAUUGAUAAUCGAAAAAGUGUAUAAAAUUUAUAUAAUUUUUAUGUAUAAUAUACAGAAUAUUUAUAUAUAUAAAAAAUAUAUAAAUUUUAUAUAUUUUUUUUGACUAUUAUAUUUACAGCAACUAUACAAUAUUAUUUUUUUUCAGGUAAAAAUGACUGUUUUGGAAAUCCAAAAUCUGGGCAAGUAGGGUCCAAAAUGUCACUUUCACCUACCGACAUGAAAGUGAUGGGGCGGAAUGUAUGAAAUCUUUGGGCUGGGCCCAGACCCAGAAUGAAAGGGUCAUUUCCUUUUCUUUCUUUAAUAUUUUUAUAAUUUUGUUUUAAUAUUUUUUUUAAAAUUGUUUGUAAAAUUGAAGCCUGUGUAAAGAGCCAUGAUAUUUUACAUGAUAAGUACAAAUGGCUAAAUUUAUUAUAUUCAUGCUUCGCAUGCCACACUUGGUCCAUUUCUUGUGGGCCUCUUUGAACAAACAAUUUGUAGCAAUAUUUUCAAAUAUCAUGCUUUAUACGGGGUCUCAAUAAACUACUAAUGGUACAUAUUUUUGGCAAAACCAAAAAGUCAACCGUUGUAGUCAACUUCAUAGUCAAUAUGACGGAACUCAGUAGCCAAUAAUGUCACAAUUCAACUUGUAAUAUGAUUCUCUCGUCAAAUAAAAAUAAUUUAGUAAAAUAUGAACAAGAAAUAGAGAUAGAGAGAAGGAAAAGAUUUUCUUCUUCAAUUUCUGUAUCUUUUCCUAUAUAUUACAAGACCUUUAUAUAGGCAUGAAAAGUAAAGAAUCACUAUUGUAAAUAUGUCGUUGAAUAUGUCAUUAAAUAUUUGAGAGGAAGAUCAUGAGGUUACAAUCAUAACUCAAUAAGUAUUAGAGUAGUGUGAGUUAUGGAGAUAAUUGAGAAGAGUAGACAUCCACCACAAAUUAAUUUUUCUUAUAACACUCCCCCAUGGAUGUCCAUAGAUAAUGUGCAUCGUUAAAACCUUAUUAGAAAAAAAAUCCUAUGGGAAAAAAAAAAGUUCUAGUGAAGAAAAAGGAGUACAUAUAUUUAGAAAUACGCCUUUUGGUUACCUCGUUAAAAACCUUGCAAGAAAAACUCAGUGGGACAAAAUCUUGUAAGGAAAAAAGAGUACAACGCGUAUUAACUCCCCCUGAUGAGAGCAUCAAUUCGUAUCCUUGAGCCUUCGCAUCCCAAUCUUAUAUACUAGUUUCUUGAAGGUUGAUGUCGAUAGAGAUUUGGUGAACAAAUCAGCCAUAUUAUCACUUGAACGAAUCUGUUGCGCAUUGAUAUCACCAUUCUUUUGAAGAUCAUGCGUGAAAAAUAACUUUGGUGAAAUGUGUUUUGUCUUAUCUCAUUUUAUGAAUUCUCUUUUCAAUUGGGCUAUGCAUGUUGUAUUAUCUUCAUACAAAAUUGUGGGUAGUUUGUCGCAUUUCAAACCUCAUUUGUCUUGAAUAAGAUGUAUUAUAGAUCUCAAUCAUACACAUUCUUGACUUACUUCAUGAAUAUCAAUUAUCUCAGUAUGAUUAUAUGAAGUAGCCACGAUUGAUUGCUUAGUCGAUCGCCAAGAUAUGGAAGUGCCUCCACAUGUAAACACAUAGCCUGUUUGAGAUCAUGCUUUGUGUAGGUCAGAUAAAUACCCAGCAUCGGCAUAACCAAUAAGAUCGGAAUUGCAAUUAUUAUCAUAAAAUAAGCCCAUAUCGGUAGUCCCUUUUAGAUACCGCAAUAUGUGUUUGAUUCCAUUCCAAUGUCUACUUGUAGGAGCAGAGUUAUAUCUUGUUAAGAUAUUAACUUAAAAAGUUAUGUCAGGCCUUGUAGUGUUAGCAAGAUACAUUAGUGCACCAAUUACACUAAGAUAUGGUACUUCAGGACCAAGAAGCUUUUCAUUAUUUUUAUGAGGUCGGAAUGGAUCUUUAUUUAUAUCAAGUGAUCUCACAAUCAUCGAGGUACUCAAUGGAUGUGCUUUAUCCAUAUAGAAUCGCUUUACAAUCUUUUCAGUGUAUGUUGAUUGAUGGACAAAAAUUUCAUCUUUCAUAUACUCAAUUUGUAGACCAAUACAAAAUUUUAUCUUUCCAAGAUCUUUCAUUUCAAAUUCCUUCUUAAACAGUCUACUGCUUUAGGAAGCUCCCCAGGAUUUCGAAUGAUAUUUAAAUCAUCAACAUACACGCUGAUUAUAACAAAUUCAGAUUCAUAUCUUUUUAUAAAGACACAAGGACAAAUUGAAACAUUCUUGUACCUUUCUUUCAACAGGUACUCACUCAGGCGAUUAUACCACAUGCGCCCUGAUUGUUUUAAUCCGUAUAAGGAUUUUUGAAGAUUUACUUAAUAAAUUUCUUGAAAACCUUAAUAUGCUUCAGAACAAUUAAAAUCUUUCAAUGAUUUCCAUUAUAUGCAUAUCAAGUUUUUCAUGUAUUGCCAGAUUAAAACCUUAAAUAACUACAUUCAUCAUAGGAGAACAUAUCUCUAUAUAAUCAAUGCCAGGAUAUUUAAAAUCAUCUUGUAACACAAGUCGUGUUUAUGCCUAUCGACUUGACUUUUUUCGAACAAGAACACAUUUAUACCUCCACUGGUUUUAUACUUUUAGGUGUUGGAAUUAUCCGUCCAACUUCACAUUUUUCAGGUGAAGUCAAUUUUCAUUGCGUAUUUUUUAUUUGGCCAAUCAUUUAUCUGUCCAAAUUUCAUAACAGAUUUGAGCUCAAGAUCCUCGUCAAUAUUAAUAAUACUGAGCGCUAUAUUAUAUUAACAAUAUCGUCGACGAUCAUUUUAUAUCGGUUCCAUUAUUACCCAAUAAAGACAUAACUUAUUGAGAUCGCUUUAUCUCAUUAUUUUCAGGUACCCGAGCCUCUCCCAUGAGGUCUUAUGAAGUGUUGUCAUGGUGCUCUUCUAGAACACUUGCCUCCUUAUUAUGACCAUCUAGAACAUUUGCUCCUUUCCUUACUCAAGGAGUUUUAUCUUUAGAACCGAUUAGUCUAUUACACUUCAUGCGUUCCAUAGAUUAUGUCCAUCAUGAACUUUAUUCUAUUUGGAGCAUUAGCAAUUGGAAUAUGAUAUUUAGCUUUGGGUCACCAAAUGCGUCUGGCAAGAAUUUACAAAUGAAGUAUCACUUGAACUUCAAGUUCACAUUUUCUUGUACGAAGAUCUAUAUGUAUUCAUAAUAAUUCAUUCCACGUAUCACUUUUUCAGCUGCCCAUUUUCUCCCCCUAAUGUUAGGAUCACUAAUAUAUAUCCCCACCAUUCUUUGGAGACUCAUAUUUACAUUGUAGUGGAACAAUUAAAUCAUAUAGCACAUUCAUAUUUUUAGAUGGAAAUUAUUUGGUUCCUGACCCUGAACCAAUGUGAUACGGAGAACAUAUCAUAACAUGGCUAGAUGCGUACAAGUGUUGUUGUAUAUUAAAUAAUACAUCACAUACCAAAUNNNNNNNNNNNNNNNNNNNNNNNNNNNNNNNNNNNNNNNNNNNNNNNNNNNNNNNNNNNNNNNNNNNNNNNNNNNNNNNNNNNNNNNNNNNNNNNNNNNNNNNNNNNNNNNNNNNNNNNNNNNNNNNNNNNNNNNNNNNNNNNNNNNNNNNNNNNNNNNNNNNNNNNNNNNNNNNNNNNNNNNNNNNNNNNNNNNNNNNNNNNNNNNNNNNNNNNNNNNNNNNNNNNNNNNNNNNNNNNNNNNNNNNNNNNNNNNNNNNNNNNNNNNNNNNNNNNNNNNNNNNNNNNNNNNNNNNNNNNNNNNNNNNNNNNNNNNNNNNNNNNNNNNNNNNNNNNNNNNNNNNNNNNNNNNNNNNNNNNNNNNNNNNNNNNNNNNNNNNNNNNNNNNNNNNNNNNNNNNNNNNNNNNNNNNNNNNNNNNNNNNNNNNNNNNNNNNNNNNNNNNNNNNNNNNNNNNNNNNNNNNNNNNNNNNNNNNNNNNNNNNNNNNNNNNNNNNNNNNNNNNNNNNNNNNNNNNNNNNNNNNNNNNNNNNNNNNNNNNNNNNNNNNNNNNNNNNNNNNNNNNNNNNNNNNNNNNNNNNNNNNNNNNNNNNNNNNNNNNNNNNNNNNNNNNNNNNNNNNNNNNNNNNNNNNNNNNNNNNNNNNNNNNNNNNNNNNNNNNNNNNNNNNNNNNNNNNNNNNNNNNNNNNNNNNNNNNNNNNNNNNNNNNNNNNNNNNNNNNNNNNNNNNNNNNNNNNNNNNNNNNNNNNNNNNNNNNNNNNNNNNNNNNNNNNNNNNNNNNNNNNNNNNNNNNNNNNNNNNNNNNNNNNNNNNNNNNNNNNNNNNNNNNNNNNNNNNNNNNNNNNNNNNNNNNNNNNNNNNNNNNNNNNNNNNNNNNNNNNNNNNNNNNNNNNNNNNNNNNNNNNNNNNNNNNNNNNNNNNNNNNNNNNNNNNNNNNNNNNNNNNNNNNNNNNNNNNNNNNNNNNNNNNNNNNNNNNNNNNNNNNNNNNNNNNNNNNNNNNNNNNNNNNNNNNNNNNNNNNNNNNNNNNNNNNNNNNNNNNNNNNNNNNNNNNNNNNNNNNNNNNNNNNNNNNNNNNNNNNNNNNNNNNNNNNNNNNNNNNNNNNNNNNNNNNNNNNNNNNNNNAGGAAUUGACUAUAAUCAUGUGAACGUGUCUCGUAUUAACAGAUCACAUUGAUAUAUAUUUCCUUCACAUUUGAAGAAUUAUUUUGAGAACCUUAUUGUUCUCCUUUUUACAAUUAAAAUAAUGAUGACUAUUACUAUUAUUGUCUUUCGAUGUCCACGUUCAUUGGUCAACCACUUGUCUUUAUUUAGACUUAUUAUGCACCGCUUUCAUACUCACUUCAAGAAUGGAGCAAAUCAAGUGGGACAAACUUCAUACUUUUUCAUGAAAAAUACAUUAUUUUUCUUUAGUCAUCAUUAUAUCAUCAAUAUGGUGCAUUAGAACUCAAACUCAUAAUGAGUUGGAACUCGAGCUCAACCCUUAUUACCAUGGUGCACCAGAACUCACACACCCGAUAUUUUAUUCUCAUGGUGCAGUGGGCUUGAAUUUACCGCUUUACUCUCAAUCAAUGGCAUAAUAGGCAAAACAAUAUUGAGAUUCACUCUCAAGCCUUAAUUUUAAUCACAUGCCAGGAAAGUUGUACACAACGAAUUUGCAAUUUAGCAAAUCAAAUUUGCCUUCCUAAAUAAAUAUAUAAACCUCAAAUAUGCGUAAAGCUUUAUCAAUUAUUUAUAGCAUCUAGUGAAUUAUCUAGAGAAAUAGAAGUUAUUAAAUAAUAAACAUAAUUUGGGUAGAAGCAAAAUUUAAAAAAUACUUCUUCACAAUAUCAGUAAUCAUAACAAAAGUAACAUAAAAUUUAUCUCACAAAACUAUUUUACUCUUGAAAACAUAAAAUUUUGUUUUGAAUACUCUUGAAAUAAGCAGUUCGUGCUAAUAACAUGUUAUGAAAUAAAAGCAAUUUAAUAAAACAUGAACAGGAAAUAGAGAUAGAGAGAAGGAAGAGAUUUUCUUCUUCAAUUGUGUAUCUUUUCCUAUAUAUUACAAGGCCUUUAUAUAGGCAUGAAAAGUGAAGAAUCACUAUUGUAAAUAUGUCAUUGAACAUGUCAUUAAACAUUUAAGAGAAAGAUCAUGGAACUACAAUCAUAACUACAUAAGUAUUAGAGUAGUGUGAAUUAUGAAAAUAAUGCAGAAGAGUAGACAUCCACUGUAAAUUAAUUUUUCUUAUAACAUAUUCCAUAUUUUGAUUAUUGUUGCUCAAUUGGACAUUCUCUUCUUCAAGUUACUUGGUUAGUAUCUCCUUAAACAAUAACAAUAACGUGUCAAUCUAAAUUAAGUUGGGUAGAUUUAUGAAUUUCCACUAUUUUUUGGGGCAAGUGCACAAAUAGUUAUUCUCAGGGAUGCUAUUUAGAGAUUAAUCAGUAUUUAUUUUGUCCUAAAAUUUUAAACUAAAAAUCUUGACUUCAGGACAAUUCAAGACAUUUGUCCUGAAAAAUUAAACUGUAAAACUAAAAUUCAGAACACAGUGGAUAAUUUCUAAAAAGUAAUCAUAUAAAGUGGCUACCUAGUGUCAUUUCUACCUAUUUUUUUCCUACAUGUAAAUCGUCUCAGUCCAAUAUUAUUAAAAAAAAAAAAGUUGUCUAGCUUUAGAAGUUCUCUUCAUUUUUGUUGGCAUAUAAAUCUUACGGGACUAAAAAGACUCCUCACAAACAAUUAGCAAAGUAUACGUAUUGAUAUGACUAAAACUUAAUUAAUAUUAACUGGUAUCUUAUAAAUUAGAAAACAAAUUGUAAGUGGGAGAGAGAAUAGGGGAAUGCUACACUCAACUAUUUUGGGCCAAAAAUGCACAAUAUUAGGAUGAAAGCCCACGGAUAACUGCUGGAGUCCGCAUUUUUGGGCCUUAUAACAAACAUCUUAAGCCAGGUUGUGUCAAUUUUCCUUUAGAAGAAUUAACCCAAAUAGCCGCCUACCUAAUUUCUUAUAUUAAAAAUAGCCGUCAGAUAUAUAAUAUAUGUAAGCUUUAUGUAUAAUAUAUGUAUAACUAUGUAUAAUCAAAAUAUAAUAUAUGUAUAACAACUAAAAAAAAAUAAACAAUGAACUACGCAGGCUAUUUGUGUAAAAUUCCCUUCCCUUUAUAGUAGAGGAUUUCUCAAGAAUAGACGUGGGCUAAUUGUGCAAUGAUCCAAUACCUUAUGCACGGGUACUUGGACCAUCAACACUGUGCUCGGUACCUUAUACAAGUACUAGUUUCCAAUAUAGAAAUAUAAUAUUUGGCUAAAAAACAAUGGGUGCUUAAGCACCCAUAAGGUUCAAUGUAGAUUCGAUUCCUACCCGUGCUUAGCACAUGUAUUUAGAUCAAUUUGGACCUUUUUUUCUCAAAGUAGUUGGAUGCAUGAAGUACACACAUAUCACAAUGGAACUUGGUUAAUAGCAAAACAAAUACAAGACGAUUUGCCGACGACAAAAGUAUAAAUAAACACUAGAAUAUUAAAAGAAAAUAAUCAUUCAGUAUAGCUUUGCUGUGAAAAUGUAACAAAGAACUAAAGACAAAAUAAGCACAACAAUAAGCGGGUACACGAAGAUAAAAGGCUAAGAAAAAGGUAAAAAAAUGUGGAAAUAUAAUAUAGAUUCUGUUGAAAAAUCUCAGAACAAAUAGCUUGUCAAAAAGUAGAAUCUAUGAAUAAAAAUGACAAAAUUUACAUGUCCUAGACACACCACAACAACCUUAUAUAUGUCCCAAAAUCAUAGGCACUCGCGAAAUAAAUUAUCUUCACUGAUCAAACUUUUUUAG